GCGCUCCUUCUCGCGCUCCAGCAGUUGAACCUGUCGCCGCCGCCGCCGCCGGCUAGGCUGCCUCGGUGGCUCCCCUGCCGUCUUUGCCCACCCCGACCCCGGCUCGCCCCCAGGCGCGGAGGGACCCCUGGACUGGGGCCUCUGGCACCGGCUCCCGGUCACCCCUUUCUUUCUCCAUCCUAAACUUACCCUGUGUGUAUGUGCGCGGGCGCGCAAGUGUUUUAUUUAUCGUGAAAAAUUACUCUGCACCCCAUGACCCUUUCCCCCCCUCUCUCCUUAAGCCACCUUCUUUCUCCCUCGCGUGUUUUCCCUGUGCCUAAGCGGGCUCGCUGCUAGUCGCGCCUGUUGUUCGGACGCGGGAGACCCAGACCCUCAGCCAGAGGAGCCCUCCGGUCUCGGACUCUGUGCCCUCAAGGCAACAAGCCGCAAAGGAAGGCGCACCGCAGGAGCCUGGGCAGGGCUGGGGUCCCGGGGUGGUGCUGGCCGGGCUGCUCCGCAGCCCGCGGGCUGUGGAGCGUGCAGCUCCGAGAACCAGGCUGUGCACCUGUGUGUGCUCCCUGUGGCCGCUGCGCCCCCAGUCGCCCGAGGUUUGCGGGGUCAGGCACGACUGGAGCCCAGCCUGGGCAGCCUGGAGAGCGCGGCGGGCGGGCGUGCCUCGGCCCGGGCCUGGAACUGCCAGCCUCCUCGGCUGGCGUCCCGGAGUCCCUCGCCCCAUUGACUCGAGGGGUGCUUGCUUGCAUGCCUGUCCUAUUAAAAAAAAUUAAAAGAGGCUUGGCACGUUGAGCUAGGAGCCCGGCCUUCCCGUCGGUGGCUGUGUUUGGCUCCGGGAGGAGUUCUUCCUGUAGUUCAACUUGCUAUUGGCCGGACUCCCUCCAACUUCUCUGUUUACUGCCCGGCCGGGCUGCGGAGCCUGCCGGUCGCGCGAAUUGAUUUAACCCGAGGCGGGCGCGGCGGCUGCGCUCCCGGGCGCGGUCAGUGUUUGCUGGAGAGCUUGAGCCCCAGGUACCUGGACAGGCAAAGGGCUAAUUGACCCCGAGGGGCCGCGCAGGGGGCUGGCGCGCCGCAGCGGGCAGGGCUAAUGACAGCAGCACCUGCAGGGACAGGGGAGCUCUAAGUUUCCAACACUGGGAGUUUCCUGGGGAUGACCUGGGGACUGGAAAGGAAUGAGGAGAACCGGUGUCUGACGCGGCCAAGGUGGGGGGUGGUGGUGGUGGUGGCCUCUGGAGAGCCCGGGGGAGAUUUCCGGAGCCGUUUGGGGUUGCUGGCGAGAGCGUGGGAGGCAGCUUGAGGAGAUAAAGCCCCUGGGAGUGGCGAUAGGGCGAGCUUUAGGCCUCCGGAGGGUGUCCUCCUGACCUCGCCAAGAGAACGGCGGCUCGCGGUAGUUUCCCCGCUCCGCCCCCGCCUCCCCCUCGCUGCCUAGUAAAUAACAAGUUCCAAUCAUGGAGCCUUUCAGAAUGACCUUCGCCUGGCACAUGUGCGCCGUUUGCACCCUCCCAAUUACUCCGAAAUUCUUCAUGCAUACCAGGUCCCGCGCUCCAGCCACCUCGGGAAUUGCACCGUCUCGAGAUUCCAAGCGGCCUCUUAGAUACAUCCCUUUUUAUCUGCCUCCCCACUCCCAGUCCCUUCAUAUUUUCCCUCAAUGGGUUGAUUAUGCACAUUGACCCAUUCAAAAACAGUUGCGACCGACAGGCAGGCUGAGGCGGGAGGAAUUUCUAGGAGGCGACCUACUGGGGGCUGUCUGGUUCAGCCUCUGCCGCUGGAGGACCCGCUCCCGGUACGCAGCAAUUUGGUAUUAACUGUGCGGCGCGGGGCUGAGCUAUUCCGAAAAGCCCUUUUCAGAAUUUCUGCAAGGAAUGUAAUCCAAAUUAGUUCUGCAGCUGUCCUCUUCCUCGUCUCAGGCGACACCAGCUCUUGCCCUCGCUCGUCUCUUCUCCUUUCCCUGGGCGAAUUGUCAGACCCACAAGUGAGCCCAUUUAGAGCGCGAGGAUUAGCGUGCCAUUGUUGUUCCGAGUGUGACUCUGUACUUGAAAUUCUGGGGGCACAAAGGAGAGCCUCACUUGUUCAGAACACAAAGUGAUCCAGAUGAAAGGGCCGCACAAAGAAAAGCUCUUGGGUGCAUCCCUGGUAUAAUUGCAACACUCAUACUAAGGUGACCCACUGGAAACUGCAAACUCCCCUGGGGACUCCCCCCCCCCCCUUUUGCCCCACCGCACCUGACAGGAAAAGUUCAGCUGGUUUGAAUGCAGCGUUAUUGUGAAAACAAGUGACUGGGUGUGAGUGAGGCUGUGUGUUUGUGGCUAUGCAUGUGUGUGGUUACGUGUUCUCAAGUAAAUACGUAUUGCGCGCCUCUCCUCUCUCGCGGUUAGCAGUCAGUAGCAGUUUGGAAGAGUUUGUUUUGGUCCAAAUGAGAAAUUAAGUGCGGAUAAGUAAACUAAGCUGCCAGAGGGCGACAAGAUGUUGAGUGAAUUGCUUUUAGAUGAAACAAAUUAAGGAAACGAGGGAAGACAAUCUGCUUCUCGCAUUAUUAGACACGCUUGGAGUUCAGGGGAAAGUGGCAUAUUUUGAAAUGCUAAUUUCUUAAGAAGCAGAAGGAAUGCACCUUAUUUACUGCUCUAUGUGAACAGAAUAAAAAUAUAGGGUGAAGGAUUCUGGUGAAUAGAUCUUUAAGAUAUUUCUUAAAAAUAUUUAUAAUGUAAGGAGACCUGUUUUGUUCCCUCUUGAAAAAAAAUCAGUUGUAAAGAGAAUUUUCUAGUAAUUCUGAAGGACGUCUCAUUUCCAGUGAUUCACUUUUUUUCUGAAAUAUUACAGCCAAGGACCCUAUGAGCGGCAAUUAUGAAACCUUUGCCACCUAAAGGAAUAAUUCUGAAAUUUCCAUCUUCCUCAUUUAAUCAAUAAUUAUCAACAUUCCCCUUGUAUUGAAAUAAAUUUUAUAGUAUUAUAUAGAAAUAUUGAAGUGGCACUUUCACAUACCUUAAUAGAUAUGUGAUAAACAAGUUCAGUUCCCAUUUCUUGUUUGCAAGUAACUUAGCCCCGCUUUUCAUUCUGUAAAAGUACAUGUCUUUCCUACAUAUUACAAUAUGUAAUUAUUUUUUGAAACUUAGCUUUUUUUACAUUUGAGGAGAAAAAUAUUAAUAGAACUUAGUUAAAUAAUGAAAGAAGUGUUAAAUGCAUUUUCAAGAAAGUGUUAGUAUUCUUUCUUACAUGUACUGCAAGCACACCCAUAGGUGCACUGUUUCCCUUUUUUCUUUUAAUUUUGAAAUUCUUAUAUAUGUAGAGUGGGGCAUUUUUAGAGGAAGAUUUUUUCUCAUUAUUUGUAAAUAAAUUAAUAGACUUGUGUACUAUUAACUGAAACUCACUUGAGAAUAACUGAGUUCUUUUCUGGUGAAAUGGAAGGACUCUGGUUGUGUCAGAUUGCCUUUUUUUCUUUUUAACCUCAGCUACCUUUAUGUAUUUUAAUUAUGCAUGCAGAGUAAGUCAAAUUUUGUUGAAAAUCAAGGUACUUACUGCUUUAUAUAUAUAUUUUCAUUUAGUCAUUGGAAAUCUGUCAUGAUUAAGAAAUUACAUUAGAAUAUUUACCAGGGCUUGCACUUCAUGGAAGAUUUAUGUAUUUUUUAUUCUAACCCAAACACAGUAAGUUGGCAUUGGCUAAUUUUUAGAGUUUGCACUCAUUUAAUGGAAAAUCAUAUUUCCUCCUGAAAGUGGAUUCAAAUAUUUAGUAUUCAUGAGCUUUCAUCAUUUCAGUUCUUAAAUAGAAGUACUAUUUAUCAUCUGUCUUAUGCAUUCACCCUUUCCAUUACUAUAGAUUCUUUCUUUACAUCUUACUGUUUAUUGAGUUUACACGUGUGAGUAUAUAUUUUCUCUUCUACCACUAAGUGUAUUCUUUUUCAUGUGUGUUUUUCCCAGCAACCUGCCACUCAGCCACUGCAGGAGUCCUCUGAGCCAGUUUUCAUUCUUUCUUUCUGAUAAAUCUGAUAUGGCUGGUUGGCUGGACAAUCACAAGCCAUUCCAUUGCUCAGAUUUAUUCCUGAAAGAAAAUAAAAAGGCAUCGAUCCAAGAUCACUAGCACAUCUCAAAAGCCCUGACUCCAAGGCCAAAUCUUUCCACAGAGAAGUCCCUUCUUCCCUUUCCCUCUUCCUCAUUUCCUUUCUUGACUAAGGAAGGAAGGUUGUCUACUGCCAUUUAACAAUGCUUGUGAUGCAAGGAAUUGUGCUUUUUCUAAGCAAUCUUUGAUGCUUGGUGAUUCAAGCCACCUUGAGUCUAAACAUCUAUGUAAGGUAUACAUUUUUAGACAAUAAAUUGAAUUAGGAUGCCUUAAAGAUUGCAGUGCUUUAAAGCAGUGUCAUUUUUUUCAUUAUAUUAAGGUAGGUAUUAAGAAAACUUAUCAUGUAUUUUAAAAAUAACAAUAUGUUUUGGCUUUAUUACAGUGUUCUGCUACUACUGAAAAUCCAUAUGUAAUCUCUAAGUGCCUAAAACGUAGGUGAAGCAAAGGAUCAAAAAGGAUAUAUUCUGUUACACCAAACUUGUUGGCAUUUACUAUGUUAGAUUUCAUCCUUUUGAGAGAUACUGAUUUACGGAGAUGUAAAUAUUUACAUUGAAUUUAGCUUAUACAUGUUUAAGUCCAGAGCUGUACUAUAGAAAUUAAUUACCAACCAUAUCUUGCUGUUAUCUUUUACAGUGAUCUACUGAGAAUACUAUGUAGGGUAGAAUUUAAUCAUAUUACCUACUUUUCUCCAGGUUAUAUCAUUUUAGAGAUGUUCUAUUAUAUUAACAUUUCACCAUCUGGAACCAAAUUGCAUCUUCUAUCUAAUACUUUUUUUUUUUGAGGUACUAUAAAUAUUGAACUGUCGAGUAAAACCUUGCUUUUCAUGAUUUCUGAUAUAGCAAUUAACAGUUUAUAAUGAAAAGGAUUCCUUUGAUUUUCCUUUUUUAGAAAAAAAUCCUAGAUCAUUAUUUCCUAAAACUAUAGCUCUUCAUAAAUUUGAAGACUUGAACUGCCUAUUUUGUUGUUAAGUGUUAACUCAGGAAAUAGCCAUAUGGUUAAAAUCAGAAUUUCUAUAUUCUAGGGACAGUUACUCCAGUCCCAUGUCAAUCCCUUGAGCAACUCACUUCAUCUCUUGGGAGUUGGCUUAUCUGCCUGGGGGUUUGGGGGUGGGGAGGGAUGCAAGGAAUGUACUGUUUCUCUACAGUAUAACAGUUUUCUGAAAAAUGACUUUAAAGUCUUCUGUAAUAGCAAGAUACAUUCCAGUAAAAAGUUUAUUGUUUUUGUAUAUGCAAUUCAGAUUGCAUAUGUAAUUUAGAACAUGUGCACAUAUGUUAGUAAACAAAUAAACUUCUUAGCAGGCUAUCGGUGACAGAAGAGAACCUGUCUAAUGAAAUAGAGAUAUGGACUCUAUAGCAUUUGUGUUUGAAAGCCAUUUCCCCAAAAAUAUUGCUUUUCAGAAUUGCUUGGGAUCGCUUUAGAUUUCAUUGCAUAUGUUUAUUUUUUGAGUUGUUGGUAAUUCUGACACAUUCAUUAAAAUGACCUAUUUUCCAUUGCUUUAAUAAUUCUUUAUAGCCUCUUUCUUGUUUGUAUAUCUGUUUCCUAAACUGGUGCUUUCUGUUUGUACUUACUUAUCAAGAUGAAGAGAGCUAUCUUACUUUUGCAGUACAGAGAUAGAAUAUAUGUGAGUUUUGGGGCCUAAUUCUUAAAGAAUAGCUGUGAGCAUGUAGUAAUUGUUUUAUACUUAUUUUCAUUUUGAAUCUGUAUUUGUUCUGUAGUCCCAUCACUUUGCACAACUCCAGGGGGCAGCAGCCACACAGAAUUUAAUAGGAAUGGUUCAUGCCUGAGCUGUGGGUAGCACAGCAGCAGCCCUGCUGUUGUGUGAUGCUGGAGAAUAAAACACUAAAAUGAAAGUUAGAGAUUCUGGUCCUGAUACAAUAAUUUGCUGUGUGAUCUUGGGUUAGAUUCCUUGCCUGUGUCUCAAUUUUUUCACCUGUAUUAGUGUAGCUAAAUGUGAUAUUUUAUUAACAUCAUGAAUGUUUUCAACAAAUCAGAAGGAAAAGCUAUGUUUAAGCUUUUUAGAAAAAUGCAUUUGUUUUUAAGCAGUGUAAAUUUUUUUAAGUGUACCUUUGAUUUUCAAGUGAAUUCAUAUAUGUAGCUCUGAUAUGUAAACAUAUUAGGAAUCAAAGAAAUAGCUGCUUUUGUUAAAGGUACGUUGAGCAGUCAGCUUUGUGGUCCCCUGAAUUUCACCUUCCACUUCUCCUUCCUUUUCUUUCCACUUUCCCAUCUAUUCCUCUGUGCUGGCUUCACAGAAGUCUACACUGUUUGGAAAAUACUGAUGGAGUCCAGUCAUCUCAUUUUUAAAGUGAGAAACUUGGAGUACCAGUGAUAAGUUAGUGGCAGCUUCUCACACCAGUGUCAUUUACUGUAACACACAAACUACUUGAAAACUCAGACACUUAAAUCAGGAAGAAUACAUUAAUUAAAGUUCGUUGUUUUAAAAGAGAACUGCAAAAACUGAAGUGAAAAGAAAUGGUGCUAAUUAUUGUGCUGUAUAAUACCUUUCAAUGGGAAGUCCAUGGGAUUGUCAUUGUCAUCUUUAUAUUUAAGAUGAAUUCAUUAAUUGUAACUUAUGGUAUAUGAAGUUUUAAGAAGUGAAGCAACUUUGUUAAGAUAGUAGAAGGAUCUUUUUACCUGAUUUGGCCUAUUCUGAAUAUAGGAUUUUGACUCUAAAAGUCACAAAAGGAGCAGCCCACCUUAAGUCUCUGUAUAUCAUAGUAAUUUCUAGAAUUUAUACCUGUCACUUUAUACAGAUGACCAAUCAGUAGAGAAUGGUUAUUUCUCCACUCUGAAAUAAGUAGCAUACAUGUUUAAAUAAAAUAGAUUGUAAAGGGUAAGCACUGGGUUCCUUAUCACUAGUUAGUUGGUAGAGUCCCACAAUCCGAGUGAUAUUCCAGACUUUUCCAGGUCCAUCAUCCAACCCAAGGUUCUUUACUGUAUCCACUGUCUUUGCUGAGUCUCUCCCAACCCCACCUUUUUUUCUCCAGGCCCAGACAAAGAUGUAGGUGUGUUCUUUGAACAAAUGCAUGAGUAAAACUAAUUACUAAGUUAUUAUGCAUUCAUUGUUAUGGCACGUUUCCCUGCCUUUAGAAGGCUUCUGCAGGCUGCUUCUUUGGGCCUUCAUGACUGCAGUGUUGUUGAUAUAACCUUGACUUUGGUUGUGGGUGACUUCUCUCAAGCCCCUGAGCUUUCUUGGGCAUGCUCAGCAUUCUCGUGGGCCCUAGUGACAGAAGGGAGAUUUGAAACUCAUUUAGGAAUUAGAAAUGAAAAUGGACCCUUGUAACAAAAGAUUAACAUAGACACUGUGGAACUUUCUAUGAAACAUCAUUAAAAACUCUCCCUUGGGGUGUAGCUCAGCACGAUUUCUGUCAAUCACAUUAUUUCCAAUAUUGUGGGAGUUACCAAAGCAUACUAAACACCAAUAAGAAUGCUCAAGACUCAGUUUCUGAAUCCAGGAGUUAAUCGGAAUCAGGGUUAUGUGAAUAUUUCUAUUUAUUUCACCUGGAAUAUAAAAGUAUUUAAAGAAAAGAAAAUGAAUGGUGUAAUAAGCAUUUGUUUAUUUUCCAAACAGAUCAGACUUGUAAACAAUCAGUUUCACCUGAUAAGCUUUACGACUCUUCUGAUAUUAUAUCUGGUCCCACAUUCACUGGUUCAAGUGGAUAUUGAAAUAUUAAGCCUUUAGGUUACAAGCAGGGAUCAUAAACCUGCUUUUUAAAAACAUAUCUGCUAGUCUUCUCUCUCCUGCUGAGGGUGUCUCUUGGCUGAUAAAACAUGGUGACAGAUUAUCUAAGUUCUGUGUCUGUAUCUAGUAUGGCUGCAGCUUGAGCAGUUAAGUUAUGCAGUCCUCUGUUUCAGGAUGGAUCCCUAUCACUAGCAGGGGUAUACCUAAUAGAGGUCAUGGGUGACAGUGACUGUUUUGCUCUAGGCAAACUCUCCUUUUACUAAAAUCUUUCUUUGUCAGUAUUUGCUAUUCUUCCCUGUAGGCUCAAAGAAUAUGAAUUUCUUUCUAUUGGGGCCUAUGGGAGCCAAAUAAAAAUAAAACAGAAUAAUAUUUCUUUUAGACAUAUACUUUUUUUUUUUUUUUGGACAGGCAGCAUUAGACAGUGAGAGAGAGAGAGAGAGACAGAGAAAAGUCUUCCCUCCGUUGGUUCACCCCCCAAAUAGCUGCUACGGAUGGCGCACUGCGCCGAUCUGAAGCCAGGAGCCAGGUGCUUCCUCUUGGUCUCCCAUGCGGGUGCAGGGCCCAAGCACCUGGGCCAUCUUCCACUGCCUUCCCCGGCCACAGCAGGGAGCUGGACUGGAAGAGGAGCAACCGGGACAGAACCCGGCGCCCCAACCAGGACUAGAACCCCGGGGUGCCUCACCAGGACUAGAACCCUGGGGUGCCUCCGCAGGCGGAGGAUUAGCCUAUUGAGCCAGGGCGCCGGCAUAGACAUAUACUUUUGGUUUGAAGAAUUCCUUUAGUCAUUUUGUCUGGAACUAGAACAAUUAAAUAAGUUUCUUUUAAGGAAAAUUGACUGCAUGGCUUAUUAAAAUUAAAAAUUUCUGUGAAAUCAUGUAGUCCUUAAAAAGCCCAGAAGGGCUAUUGCAAGAUCCUCUCUAUGGGUCUCGUCUUUCCACAUGUUCAUAUCCCAAAUCCUUCCUGUUGCCACCAGAUGACCUUUUCUAAAAUAAUACUUUCAUUAUCUUUGUUUUUGUUCUGAAACCUUCAGUGAUCACCACUGCAAAAUUUAAAGCCUGCUAAAAUACUCUUCAGUUUCCUUAAUCCUGUUUUAGGAUUUCUUAAGAUAUAUUGUAUCUAAGAACCAGGCUGACCUAGACAGAGUUCCCUGACCAUGCUUGUUCAUUGUGUUUACUUUUGCUGACCCCUUUCCCUGGAAUUCUUGGCCCUUUUUUGUUGCCUCUGCCCCACCAAACUUUUGAAUCUUUUCAAAAUAUUUAUUUAUUUAUUGGAAAUACAGUUACAAGAGAGAGAUAGGAAGAGAUAAAGAUCUUCUACCUGCUGUUUCACUCCUCAAAUGGCGGCAGUGGCCAGGGCUAGUUCAGACCUCAGUCAGGAGCCAGGAGCUUCUUUCAGGUCUUCCACAUGGGUGCAAGGGCCCUAGUACUUGGGCCAUGCUCCAUUGCUUUCCUAGACACAUUAGCAGGGAGCUGGAUUGGGAGUGUAGCAGCCAGGACUUGAUCCAGCGCCUAUAUGGGAUGCCUAGGUCGCAGGUAAGCACUUUACCUGCCAUGCCACAAUGCUGGUGCCUGAACUUUUGAAUCUUUUAAGCUUUAACUUUACAGUAUACCUCCUCAUUACAUCUUCACUGACUACCCAGCCUACAGUCCUUGUCAAUAUCAUUAUUUAAUCUAAAACAUUCUGUAGUUUUAUCUUUCUAAGUAGAAGAGGUUUUAUUCCCCGCAGAGACUAAUAUGAUACUACAUACAUAGUAAGUACUUUAAAAAUAUUUUUAAUGAAAGAAUAGCAUGCAUUUGCUGGAACAAUUUUAAGCUCAUUCAUGAAUGGUUAUUAUUUGUAAUUAAACCAUAUAGUGCACAAAGUAAGUGUUCUAAAAACAUAAUUACAGAAUUCUUAAUAAUAGAUGUUAGGCAUGUUUACCCUGGGAAUUUCUUUGGUUGUUUUCUUGAGCUUCCUAGGGUAUUUCUCCAAAUGGGGUGUUUUCAACACUAUACCAUUUGUCCCUGUGCCCAUUUUUAGAGUCUGCUCAUACUAUGCUACAAAGCAUUUCAAUUGAUUUGAUUUUGGCAAGCUAAAUAUAUGUGAAUACCAUUCUUAAACAUAUAACUGUUUUAUAGUCCACUGUUUUGAUGUCUCAUGGCCAUUGUAUUGCUAUUUCUUACCCCCAAUCUUAAAGUUUUAAUCAGUUUAAGCGUUAAGUGUUGGCUGACGCACCAGUGUAUUUCAUGACCAUGUAAGGAACUGAGGAGGUGCUAUAAGAAGCUCAGGUUGCCAACUUUUCUGUUAAAGAAGGAUAGGUGGGGCUAGUGAAACAUAGUGUAAAAAUGUUGGCCGGUGCCGCGGCUCACUAGGCUAAUCCUCCGCCUUGCGGCGCCGGCACACCGGGUUCUAGUCCCGGUCGGGGCGCCGGAUUCUGUCCCGGUUGCCCCUCUUCCAGGCCAGCUCUCUGCUGUGGCCAGGGAGUGCAGUGGAGGAUGGCCCAAGUGCUUGGGCCCUGCACCCCAUGGGAGACCAGGAGAAGUACCUGGCUCCUGCCAUCGGAUCAGCGCGGUGCGCCGGCCGUAGCGCGCUGGCCGCGGUGGCCAUUGGAGGGUGAACCAACGGCAAAGGAAGACCUUUCUCUCUGUCUCUCUGUCUCUCUCACUGUCCACUCUGCCCGUCAAAAAAAAAAAAUGUUAUUAAAGGAUUUUACAAAAUCUUGGGAGGAAUAUUUGCCCUCACAGAUAUGUAAACAAGUAUUUCAUGAAAAAAAGGAUUCCAGGCAGAAUCUGGUGUAUUCUAUCCCCAGGUAUUUGCGACAAUACAACUUUGUUACAGAUAAAAUUUCUCAGUGUGUUAAAGUGGAUAACACAAGCUUACCACUUUGAAAGGACCAUAUAAAGGAAGCAUUUGCAGCAUAACUGAACUAAGAAGAGGUGAUGGGGAUUCUCUUAACUGCUGUUUUAUAUGAUUCGUUCUGCAUUCUGAAAGUUGGUGAGAUGAUUAUAGUAUUUAUAAUACUUAUAUUCUACUAAGGAAAAUGCUCUUCUAAACACCUUUUCUAAAGUUAACAAAUCUUAAACUCUCAAUAUUUCUAGGCACUAGGGUACACUAAUUGUAAAUUAAUUUAUAAUUACCUGAAAGAGUUAAUAUAACUUUCAAAAUUGACUGUAGAAUAAUCUGCUAUUGAGAGAAUUGGAUACAGAGACAUUAGCACAUCUGACUGAAAAUUUUUGAGUUUUCCUGAUCUUUUUUCUUUAAGGAUUUGUGAGAACAUUUGGGUCAGAGAUUAUGGCUCCUAUAUUAUAGAUGAGGAAAUUAAGCUGGCAAGUAGUAUGUAAGAGUGGAGUCUAACUGGUUCUUUCUUGUGGUAAGGUGCGUUUCUGCCCUGUCCUGGGAGCCAGGUGGCUCUGUUUUUUUCUUUGCAGUCUCUUGCCUGCCUUCCUCACAGCACAGCAGCUAAGGAUGCCUCUCAAAGACAUGAUAUUCCAUAUGUCCCUGCUAUGUGAGAGAGGGAAGCAGCUAUUUUACUUUUCCUGUAGCCACAUGAAGAAGUUUGUUAGAUAAAUCUGUUAGGAGUUCUGCUUUAGGUUACCCUGUAUAUACCCUCUUCCAUUGUAUUCUCCAGAUUUCUUUCUGUGUAUUGUGUAUGUUAAGGAAACCAUCAUAUAAGACCUAUCUCCCUGAGGGAACUUUAAAGCAGGAAUAUAUGCAUUAUUUUGGGACUUGCAUUUAUACAAAUGGAGAAAUCUUUUUGAAAACAGUAUAGAAAUAGAAUUGCAAAUUAUAUGCAGAGCCUUGGAAAGCAUCAGUGCAGUAGAGAAGCUCUGAAGCAGAAGCUGUUUUAAAAACUUUAUGGUAAAUCUGUCUGUUGGAAAGUAUUUCAAGAAGUAAUAUUAGCCUUCCUUUAACUGUAAAUUCAGUGUGUCAUUAUAUAAUUUCUUUUUUUUUUUCUCCUAUUGCAUGGAGUGAGUGCCCAUUAUGAAUGUAGGAGAAUGCAUUGCUUUGAGAAGCAAAGUGCUAAGUAGCGUAAGAUCAUAUUGUAAAAUAUUUCAGUAUAUCUUUGGAAAUAAUGUACUAUAUAGAGAUAAUUUUCAGAAUAUUUUCUCUCCAGAUAUGGGUAUGACUAAUCCAGGUAUACAUCUACUUUCUGGACAUCAUAUUUUUAAAUGGUCAUGUAAUAGUGUCUCAGACAAUUCUGUUUACUACAGUUAGAUAUAAUUUAAAAGACUCUUGCUAGUAUAAAAGCUAUAUUAUUGAAAACCUGCAUCUUGAAACAAAGCUCAUUGGCUUUUCAGUCUUUUGCUAUUACUGUGGAAAAAUGUCUAUCUUUGACUUUUACCCUGUGGCCCAGUUAAAUGUGACCAUUUAAACUACAGUAGAAAUUGUUAGAAGUGAGUGAAACAACACAUCCAAAUUAGAAUCAGUAGUCAGCACAGAUCUUUGAUGUUUUUACGUAAUAUAUGAACAUAUUUAAGAAACAAUAAAAGGACUAGUAUUUCAAGUCACACUUUUACUAUGUAAAAAUUGCAGCUUAAAAGUUAAUAUUCCCAGUUGUUAACUUGAAAUUAAGCAGCCCAUUGUCCCUGGUGAUAUAUCGAAACCUCUGAAAACGUGCUUGGAACUAAUGGAAACUGAAGUGAUUGGUAUUCAGAUAUAAUUCUUUAGUGGCCCUUUUCUUUCCUUCCUUUUAAGUACAGGAUGAAAAUUGAAAGUAUAAAAAGAUUCAAGAUAAAUUCAAAUAGACAAAGCAUUUUAUGCAACUGUUGGUGAAAGGGGCACUCAUGAUUUUUUUCGGAGCUUAUUCUGUUGCUUGUGGCCAGAAUUAGCACACCAUGAGCCAGGGAAAGAGAUAAGACAAAUAGAAUGGCACGCAGCUAAUUUUGUUUAGCAAAUUUAGAUCUAAUACAUGCUAUUUCACUCCUACAAACUGAGUCAGUCACUGUUUGAAAGGUACAGAUGAAGUUUGUCUCCUAUGGUUUAACAGCUUUCACUCAAUAUUUAUAGGCUACAUAAAAAUAAAUUUCUGUAAGUACCAUGUUUCUCACUGGCAGGAUGAGCACUGUGAAAGUAGAUUUAUUAAUGAGAAAAAAGGAAAAACAAAAACAUUGCAAUUGUUCCAGGUCUUCAGGAAAUACAAUAUGUCAAACUAUCCAAAAUAUCUUUUUUUCAAGGACAUAUAUAGCGGGGUUUUGAUAUUCAAGGAUUUUUACUACUAGAGAGUGAGUCAGAAAUCCCAUUAUUUUAUGAUAAUUUCAUGAUUUGAAUCUGGUAGAUGUAGGAUCAUAUUCUGGAACAAGUCAUUCAUCUGCCAUAUGAGCCAACAGGACAGGAUCCACUGUAAUAACCAGUAAGUGGCUUAAAACAAAACAAAGCAAAACAAAACAGACAGGACCUCAAAUAUUGGACUCUGUGAAAAAGUGCUGUCAUCUAAAUGAAUGCAUUUUGUGAAAUUUCUAAGUGAGGCUAACUUUUAUAAGAAAAUGGUCACAACAUGAUAGUGAUGGAAAUGUGAUUUUAGAAAAAGUCAGGAAUUUAUUUUGGGAAUAUCUUUUUAAAUUAAUAUAUUUUAAUUUAAACAUAACAGAUUAUUUAAUGUAGUUGAUAGAUACAAUUCUAAGAAUAUAAUGAUGCUUCCCUUCUUUCCCUCCAUCUUUGUCUUUUACUUCUCUCCUCUCUAUCUCUCUACCAGUGUGUGUGUGUGUGUGUGUGUGUGUGUGUCUGUCUUGUCUUUUGAUACUUUUCUAAUUUUUUUCUAGCACACUGAAUUACAGUAUAUCCAAAAACUUGUAAUAUUAUUUAUGUGUCUGCUAGAGCUUUGUCAUGGUGCAAGACUAGAUUCUCCAUAAUCAAACAGUAUAGAAAAUUAUUCUCAUAUUCAUGAAUUGGUCAUCUAAUCAUGUUUCUAUCAAAGGUGUUUUUUUUUUUUUUUUUAACAGAUAGUUUCUGUUUUGAUUAAGGUCUGUAGUAAUUGUGUAAGUGUUGGUGGUACAUGAAGGUUUUAAACUUGAAGACAUGUUUGGUUUUAUACUGAGUCAAGAUCAGUAACACUUCCUAUUCAAAUAUAUGAAAAGAUAAUUUCACCAUAUAUUUUUUAUUUCUACUAGGAAUGUGGAGACAUACACUUUGCAUUUUCAAAAUCUCAUAAAUCCUUAUGUAGAAUGUGAUAAGGUAUAGUACAUUACAAAGUAUAACAUUCAACCAAUAUAUUUCUUGUGAUUUUAUUGAUGUUAAAAUACUGAAGUACAUUCCUACCUAACUGGGUUUUCUAAGUCCUUUCCCCGUGACUGCUUCCUCAGAUUAACCCUGAAUAAAGAGUUAACAUCUGGUAGAAUAAUGGACUUCAGACCUCUUCUCUUGCAUUGCUGCAAAUCACUCUGAGGACCCUCUGCCAUUACAGCCAGUAAAUAUUUUCUAUAUUACCUGUACACAUAAUAAAAAUUUGCCAUAAGUAUUUAAAAUAACAGAAAUAUAAGGAUACCUCAAGAAGUUCAUGGAAAAUGAAAUUAAAAUGUAAAUUUAUUUUGGUGGAAAAAUUGAAAUUCAUAUGUAGUUUCUUCAUAACUGCAUUUCUCAUUAACCACUCUUGGAGAGAGAGAGAGAGAGAGAGAGAGAGAGAGAGAGAGAUUGAGAUUGAGAUUUUCCAUCUGCUGGUUCACUCUCCAAAUGGUCACAAUGGCCAUGGCUAGACCAGAUUGAAACCAGGAGCCAGGAGCUUCUUCUGGAUCUCUCACGUGGGUGCAGGGGCUCAAGCACUUGGGCCAUCUGGAUACUUUUCUAGGCACAUUAGCAGGGAGCAGAACUGGAAGUAGAACAGCCAAGACUUGAACUUAUGCCCAUAUGGGAUGCCUGUGCCACAGGUGACAGCUUUACUUGCUGCACUUAGCGCCAGCCCCAGGACUCAACAUUUUGAGCCACUGCCUGCCACAGUGGGUAGCAGCAGGAAGAUGGAAGGUAGAGUAGAGGUGGACCAUGAACCCAGGUAUCCAUAGUGGCUUUUUAACCACUACACCAAAUGCCUGCUACUCCGUGAACCUUUUUAAGUAACCUCAUGUGAAUAGAGUCCUACCAACUUUGCCAAAAAUAAAUAGUAGCUAAUUUGAGCAGUGAAUAUUUCUGAAUAUUUAGGUAUUUCACAGCAUAGAUGCUUCUUUUAUAUGACUUGGAGUUAAAACAGAAAUAACUUAAACAUGAUAGGUUGUCAUUGGUCAUAAAUUGAAUUGGGCUAGGAGAAAAUCAUAUGAGGCAAGCCGAAGGACCAAAAUUAAGCAGAUGUUAUAAAUUUUCCCGAAAGUGAGCAUUGGUCCUGAUGAGUCAAUUGUGUAUAUAAUUUGGGCUGCUGAGUAAUCAACACUUGAUUUUCUGAAGGUCGCCAUCUAUAUGGUAAUAACCAUAGGACACACUCAUAAUACAAUCAGAAUUAAUGAUUUUCUGAACAAGCAUUAGCUGUCACAGUUGUGUGUUUUAGAUAUCAGACUGUCCCCUGAGGGUACCAUGCCUGCUUAUCCAACUUAUGUUGGAUAAGCAUAAAAGAAUCCAUUUUAAAACAUUCUUAUAAAUUAAAAUAUAUUGUGGCAGAAAUGGUGACUAUCAUCUUAACUAUGACACAUUUGGUAACUUAGAUUUGGACAUGUUUUUAAAAAUUCUGUAUUCUUACAGAAUAAUGGCAUCCCAUUGCAUUUGAAGAAUGAUUAUAAGAAAUAAGGAGAUCCCAGGGAUAGAAUAGAAGAGCCUUGGGAAGGGCACAUGGUAAUGUCCUUAAUAGCUGGAGGGCUGCUACAUAUAAGAGGGAUUAGCGCUGUUCUGUGUAGCCUUGGAGAACAGAAACAUUAACAGCUGUUUGAAGUUGUAAGGCAUCACAUUUCAGUUGAACACUAUCAAGGAGUUUCUCAUAGUUAGAGCUUCCCAGAGUUGGAAUGGCCUGUCCUGGGAGGUAGUGAGUUCCUUCAUGUGUGCAGUGGGAAGCUCUGAUCUAACCUCCACUAUGACAAUAAAGAAUAAAUGAGGCAGCUGAGGAACAACUGGUCAGAAGUGGUGGGGUUGGGGGUUGGUUUUGUGUCCUUGAGAAUCAGUCACAAGCAUACCAUGCUCAAGUAUCCUAUCCUAGCCUCUAAAAGAGAUUAAAUAUGAAUUCCAUGUCACUGUGAUGGAUUCCCACCCAUCUGAUUUGUCACUGUACUACCUAGCAUUCUUAGGUGGGAUAUUUGUGAAGGAAUUUUGGUAUUUGAUUCUCUUAUAUGUAAAAUAAAUUGCUCUUGUUUUUUUUUUCUCAGCAGUCUUUCUGUUAGACUUCGAUACUAUGUACUAUCACCAAUUAAUCAUUCUCAGUUAAAAUAAACAUGGUACAGAAUUGAAGCCUUCAAAUUUAACACCCACACCUGCACACACAUACAUGUAUACACAUGCACACUUUGGUGUACUCCAGGGUUUAUGCCAGCAAGUAUUUAUAAGACUGGUUCUAACUAAACUGCAGGGUUACAUUUACAAGAAGAUGGGGAUAUAGUUAGGCACAGCAUGAAGUUAGCAAACUGAACCUGCAGUUGUGGUUGGAGCAUAAAGUGUUGAAAAAUAGCAGCAAAAGAGAAGCACUUUCCUAAGUACACUGAAAAUCAAAAGGAGAAAACAAAGAUAAAGGUACAUGUAUAUACUUCACUUAUUACAAAUAAAGUUGACCUUUAUUUUAGACAUAUUUUACUCCAAAGUCUUUGAUGUUUAAAUAUCUUUUACUGCCACUUUUAGAUUAUUUAUUUUCAUAUUAUUUGAAAAGCAGAGAGACAGACAGAGGAUGGUUCACUCUCUAACCAGCUCUAACAGCCAGGUCUGAUUCAGGCCAGUGCAGGAUCCUAGAACUCAAUCGGGGUCUCCCAUGUGAGUGGCAGGAAGCCAUCUACUUUAGCCAUUGUCUGCUACUUCUCAGAGUGUGCAGUUCUAGGAAGCUGGAAUAAGAAAUGGAGCCAAUAAUUAAGCCCAGGCAAUUUGAUAUGGAAUAUGAACUUCCCAAGCAGCAUCUUAACCAGUGCACCAGUUGCCUGCCCACUACCACUUUCAUUUAAACAAUUAUUAUUUGAGAGACAGAAAUAUAGAGAGCAAAAGCUCCCAUCUAUUGGUUUACUUCUGAGAUUCCUGCAGUGGUUGGGGCUGGACCACGGUCAGGGCUGAGGUCAGGGCAGAGCUGAGGGGGAACUCAAUCCAGGUCUCCCACAUUGGUGACCACCACCACUGCCUACCAGAGUCCACAUUAGCAGGAUACUAGAAUCAGGAGCUGGAUGCAGGUAUUGAACCCAGAGAAUGGUGGGAAGAAUUACUAUGUUUCUAAAGUGGUAGUUAUGAAAUGAAUGCAAAAUAAAUAAAUAAAUAAAUAGAAGCAGACUAUCUAGAACUUGAACCAGGCACUCAGAUAUGGGGUGCUGGUGUUCAAGGAGUAAUGUAAUUGCUUUACCAAAAGCAUAACCUACUUUUCACAAUUUAAUGUGCUUGCCAUAGAUUGUAUAAACUUCUAUAUAAACCACAAGCUAAUUCUUCAAUGAUAAAACCCAAUAAAUCUUAAUAUCUAACAUUUAUUAAAGUCUUGUUAUAUUAGGAAGUGCCUUAAGCACCUCUCAUCUGAUCUGAGCAACAUACUCUAGUGCCAUAAUUUCACAGACAAGAAAACAGAAGCUUAGGGAUUAAUAGCUUGUCAGAUGACACAUACCUAUGCAGGUGAUGAAUCAGUGAUUCUUGCUAUUAAUUUCACAUGGUCCAAAUAUCAAUAUUUAUUGUAUGUAAAAUAAACUAAAUCCCUUAAAAAGUAUGCUAUCAACAUAGAUGAAUUUAUUAUCUCUUUUACACCAUUAAUAAUUACUUGAUCUCCAUAAAAACAACAUAUAACUGGAUGUAUUUAUGAAUAUGCAAAAUAUGGGGAUGAAUAAGAACAAUAAUAUGAUAUUCUGUUUUUAUAUUAUGGUUUCAGAAUAUUACUAAUGUUAUUUGAAAUGUUACUCUAUUUGAAGAGUAAUUAUUUUGGUCUAUUUAAAAAUUGAUAACUUGAAGUAAAAUAUUGCAAAGAGUGAAGCAGAGGUAACAUAAAGAGACUUCCGGUUUGAACACUAACCAUGUGACUGUGCAUUAGUUAAUCUAAUAUAAGAUGUUUUAAGGUGAAUCUUUAUUAAUUUAUUUGUAUGUGAGAGAAAGAGAUUGAUCGAUUAAUUUCCCAUCUAAUGGUUACUCCUCACAUGCCUGUAAUAGACAGGGCUGAACUAAGCUGAAUCCAGAACUGGGAACUCAGUACAGGUCCUGCACAUGGUUGACAGGGACCCAAUUACUUGAGGCACCACGUGCUGUCUCCUGGAUGCACAUUAGCAGGAAACUGGAACCUAGAAUGGUUUCUCAAACCCAAGUACUCUGAUGGAAUGUGGAUAUCUCAGGUGACGUCUUAACCACUACACCAGUCACCCAUCCCUAACGCUUUUAAGCUUCCAAUUUGUCAUUUACAAUGGAAUCUAAAGCUAUUAUGACCUCCACAGUUGUAAGGAUUAAAUGAGGUAAUCCAUAUCAAGUACUAUAAAGUAUUGCUCAGUAAAUGUUAGUAUAUUAUGUAAUGCUAUAGUAAUAGUACUACUAUGAUAACUAAGACCGUUUAAAGCCAAAGAAUUAAGUAUAAUGAAUUGAAAGUUACAAAAUGUUAAAUAUGAGAAGAUCAUGAAUUUUUCCAUUUCUCAUAAUUUGAACUUGAAUUCAAAACUCAUGAGGUAUUAAUGGUUUGCAGAAUAGUUGUAUAUAUGGACUGGAAUGAGCACUGUAAGUAGACCUGGGGAAGAAUCUGGCUCUCUCUGAGGGGCAGUUUUCUCAAAUCAUUUUUCCUUCAUAUUCUGUUUUUAUAGUUUUGGUAUUAAAAAAAAGAGCUUAGAGAGACAGUUUUGUUCCAAAGAUUUAUGUUUACCUGGCAAACUCAGAUCCUCUGUCCUUUCAUCCUUAUUGUUUUUUAAAGUGCCUUCAAGAGAAAAUGGCUUUUAAUCAAAUUCAUGAGAUGACUUUUUAUGUUACACUUUAUAGGCAUUUAAACUUUUCAAGAUAGGACACAACUAAUGUAAUGUAUGACUGAAAGUAUUUUUGGAAAAUUUCUGCAUGCUAGAGUAGACUUCUUAAGAUCUGUAUAAAAAUACUGAACAAAUUUUGUCAAAUAGAAGAUAUCUAGUAAAUUAUUGUAUCAAAUGCUUUUGCUAAAGUAUAACUGUUUUAGAGCCUAAUUAGUUAUAUUUAGAUAUAUAUGGAGUCAGCUAAAAGAUACACAUCAUAAAGUUUUUGAUUCACAGACAUAUAUUGAAAAUGCACAUUUGUUUAUUUGAACUGGCAUACCUUAAAACCUUUCAUUAUAAAAAGCAUUACUGGGCUGGCACCGUGGCUCACUUGGUUAAUCCUCUGCCUGCAGUGCCAGCAUCCCAUUUGGGCGCCGGGUUCUAGUCCUGGUUGCUCCUCUUCCAGUCCAGCUCUCUGCUGUGGUCCGGGAGGGCAGUGGAGGAUGGCCCAAGUGCUUGGACGCCUGCACUCGCAUGGGAGACCACGAAGAAGCACCUGGCUCCUGGCUUUGGAUUGGUGCAGCUCUGACCGUGGUGGCCAUUUUGGGGGUGAACCAACGGAAGGAAGACCUUUCUCUCUCUCUCCCCCUCUCUCUCUCUCUCUCUCUAACUCUAUCUGUCAAAAAAAAAAAAAUUACUGCAGUGGGCAUUUGGCAUAAUGGGUUAAGACACUGGGAUGUUUACAUCUAAUAUCAGAGUUCCUGUGUUUGAGUUCUGGACCUUCUACUUGUUAAAUUCUUGAUAAUGCAAAUCCUGGGAAGCAGAAGUGAUGGUUCAAGUUGUUGGGUUCCUGCCACCAGUAUGGGAGACGUGGAUUGAGUUUCUGGUCUUAGCCCUGUCCAACUCAGUUGUAGGCAAUUGAUGAGUAAACCAGUGGAUAGGCGAACUGCCUGCCUGCUUGUCUGUCUGUCUCUCUUCCUUUCAAAUAAAUAAAACAAAUAAAUACAAUUAAAAAAUACUAAUGGGAAGGGCCAUUUUAGCUCUUCUAAAGUUGACCCUUUUCUUUUUUGCAAUAACCUCAAACUCCCUACAGCCAGUGAAUUAGAUUAAAAAAAAAAAAAGCUAUUUCUCCUGUUUACCAAUGUAGAGAUGUAUAAUAAUGCUGUGAAUUCGCCAUUCUGGCAAAAAAAAAAAAAAAGCAUAUCUUUAUAAAUUUAGGUCAUUAUCUUUAGGAAUUUUGUACACAACUCUACCGCUUGUCAUUAUCUUAUUUAGCUGGCAGGUGGUGCUCCAGAACAAUAUGGGCAGUGGGGAUUUGUGAUUAGAUUUCUAUCAGAGAUCCUGGGACAAACUGUGAACCUAACUCUUAAAGACUUUGAAAGGAGCAGUUGAAUUACUAAAAAAUUUCAUAUGAGGAUAGUAACCCAACAGAAUAAAUUCAAGAAAGCAAAUUUUUUUUUUUACAUUUUAAAUGUGCUUUACAUGAAAACUUUUAUCUUGACUGGAAUUAAGAUCUCAUGUAACUUCAACUAUACUAUAUACUUAAAAUCAGAUCAAUAAAUUAGAAGAUCAAAUGGUAAUCCAUAUUUAUACCACUAAUUUCAGUUCAUUGAUGUUCUAUUUUUGUUAUUGUUAUGACAUUCUCUUCAAGUUAUGGUUGAUUUUAAAUUUAGAACAUUGAAGUUUUAACUAUAUAUCUGAAUGGAAAGAUGUUUUAAAAUAUGUUUAUCUAAGUAGUAUGUCCUGAUAUAUUGUAAGUUCAACUUCAUGAAUGUAUUCCAUAAAUGACAACUUGUAGUUGUAACUAUGGUAACCCUUCAUCAGGUACUUCGUGGUGUACAUUGAGAGUGGUAAGGUAAUGGAAAUGAUAGCAAUUUAUGUUCAAGGUUUGAAUUUACAAAGAGGAUGUGCUGAUUUCAUGAGAAAAGCAGGCAUAUGCGACAGGAUAAGCUGGAUGGCUGGAGAUGGAUUAACCACCAAGUAACAUUCAAUCUGUUUUUCUUUCCUUUAUUUUGCUGCAUGCUGCUUUUGUUUUAGAUCCUGUUCUCUUCCACUCUUGAGUGGUUCUAAUUGCAUCUAUGAAUCAAGAAUCUACUCAUUCUGCUCUUAAAAAGCAGUCUUAAUCAUUUGUUGCCAGUCAAUAUUGUACUUAAGAAACAUUCUAGCAAGUAUCUUUUCACUCUAUGGUGAGCCAUUUUGUUACUGUUUUUGACUGUUGUUUACAUCACUGUAAUUUUAAAGUUCUACAGUGUUUGUUAGGGGUUUAUGUAUUUAUGAAUUAACACUUUGCCCUAACACCUCCCACUUAGUAUCAAAGCAGCUCUCUUUUCUACUGGUACAUUUGGAGGAGUUUAUCAUGAUUCUAAUUCUGUCACUGAUUUCCUUUUAGUAGUGAUUUGAUAUGUAAUUGUGUAUAGCAAUUUGUGUUUUGAUAUUUCAUUUACUAUCAGAAAAAGGCUCUGUUAAACAUUGAAGGUUAGUUUGGCUUAGCCCCCACAGCAUGGAAAACAAGAUGCAGACCUCCUGUUGUACAGUGUUGAUUUGGCUGUAUCUAUUAUUUAAGUCUGAAAAUAAGAGAAAGGUCUAUAUAUUUUUGCUGAAUUAAUUUGUCUUAAAUUUGAUAAGAUUGCACACCUUCAAGGAGAAAGCAUCAUAUUCUGAGUUUAAUUUCUCAGAUAUAAACUUUACUAAAAUUUUACAAAUAUUCUUCCAGAAUUUGAGUUUUGCAUCCUUAUUUAGUGGUUGCAAAUAUACAAAGUAGAUUAUCUGCCUGAAGUGAAUACAGUUUAAGAGCAGAAAAUUACUGAUUUCAAAAAUGAGUUGUUGGGGACAGCACUGUUGUGUAGUAGGCUCAAUCUCUGCUUGCGGUGCCAGCAUCCCGUAUGGGUUCUGGUCUGUGUCCCCACUGCUCCUCUUCCAAUCCAGCUCGCUGGUAUUGCCCUGGGAAAGCAGUAGAAGAUGGCCCAAGUGCUGGGGCCCCUGAAUCCAUGUGGGAGACCCAGAAGAAGCUCCUGGCUUCAGAUUGGCCCAACCUUUGCUGUUGCAGCCGUUUGGGGAGUGAACAAGUGGAUGGAAGACCUCUGUGUCUCUCCCUCUUUCUGUAUGUAACUACUUCUCAAAUAAAUAAAUAAAUAAAUAAAUAAAUAAAUAAAUAAAUCUAUCUUCCUCCGAUUUUACUGCAGCCAUGUAUAUUUCCCUUUGUCUUUUCAUGCCGCGCAGUACCUUUAAUUUCACCAUGACCACUAUAGCUAUCAAUUUGUUCUUCAAAAAGAAUUCUGAUUUUUAUUCUUCCAAAGAGAGGUGAAGUUAUGUGCAUUGAUUAAAUUUAAUUGUGUUUAUAUUACAUAAGAGUUGUAAAUCAGGCUUUAAAAUUUUUUGAAUUUUCUAAAGAAAUGACAUUUUGAAAUUAUUCCACUUCAAUAGAAUUUUUUACCUUUUUUUUUUUUUUAAAGACUCUAGUAUUAACUAUCUGUAGUUCUGUUUCUAAGAAGACAGCUAGUAAGCUUUUCUGGAUUUCUUUGCAUUUUGAGAAACAGAGUUUAGAAGAAGUUUAGGUUUUUAUAAGUUUUUCAUUCUUCCUGACUCAAACUAGUGCAUAGGGCUCUGGAACACACAGGAUGGCAGCAGUUGCAGUCCCAAAGUUUUUUCAGGGGUGAUGAUUGAACAGCUGUCCUUUUGACUGUGAUCCCUAUUUGGAAUAGUCCCAGGACUUGUGAAAGAAAUCUGCUCUAGGAUUAUUGCUGACAUGCAUGUAUUCAUGUCCUCAGACCUUCCAUUCACCCCCCACCCCCAGGAUCACUGCUUCUCUCUGAGCAGUUAGAUGUGGAAUGGUGACUGUGCUAGUAGAUAUUUCCUCUGCACAGUACUGCCUCCUUUUUUUUCUACUUCUCCCUUCCUGUAUUUCAUGUAUGAACAAUUAUAUUUAAGAACUUGGGCUAUUCAUUUUCUAAAUGAUUUGGAAAUUAUGAAGUAAAAAUUACCAAAGUUGUUCUUUACAACAACAAAGACAGAAAUUGUUCUUGAGAGAGGCUUACAGUACCCUCAGUGGUUUAUUUUUACACAAAUAUUUUGAUUCUUAGUGGUUUCAUGCAUCACUGCAGUUCUCUUAGCUGCAAAUUCUCCUUGUUAGGCUCUAAAGUUUUUACAAAUAUGCAAAUGUUCAUGUAUAUUUAAUAACUUUGACACUCUUGAAUGUUCUGUUUCUCAAGAUUUUUAGGUGGUCUUGGGAAAAUCUGUGAUGAAUUACUUAAUUUUUAAUUGCAAAUUAACAUUCAUUCUUAGAUAUAAUUUGCAAUAAGCCACAAUGGAUUAAAAUAAUUGCUUUCUUUUCUAUAUUGAGAUCAGAGAUAAGCAAUAGAAUUAUGUUUUCUAGGGUUAUUUUUUCAAUGCAUUUACUCUUUCUGACCCUUCCAGGCUGUGGUAUACCUAUAUAGAAAAUCAGGCUUUAUUGGCUGUUAGUAUUUUAGAUUUACUUAUGGUCAUUACUGUAGAUCUAUGAUAGUUUCACCAGAAGCUGUGCAUUAAAUGUUUCAUAACAAAAGACAAUGAAAGUUACCUGUCUAUUCCCUAUUAAUGCUAUUCUUUGAAGUUUUCUAAGUUUUAGCUAUAUUCAAAUAAUGUAUUUUUACCGAUGGAAAGUUGACAUGGCACCCCUCUGCAGGGUUUUGUUAUGUUUUAUUUCAUGCAGUGUGCAGCAUCUUAAUUCUUAUAAUAACAGGGUUGCUUGUUUGCCAGCAGGAAGCCCCUCAAAGCAAGAUGAUGCUUCUUGGUUGCUGGAUUUCUAUAUAAAUAAAUAACAAUUCACACAUUCCUUUUCCAAACUGAAGUCAGUGAGAUAAUGCUAUAUAACUUUUUUUCCAUUUAAAAAAUAGCUGUAUUAUGUCAGUGACCUGUAAUAAAUGGCACUGCAAGGAGAAGCGACAGCCUCAUUCACCUUGCAUCCAUGCAGAAAUAACUGAGCUCUAUUUCCAUGGCUGGAGGGAGAAGAAGAAAGAAGAGAGUGAAAGAAAAGAACUGACCUUGGAUUGCAGUCAGUCUCAUGCUAACAAGGGGGAGUUUACACUGACUAUUUUUACUACAUUGAAUUUACCACUCACUGCUUUGCAAAUAUUCCCUGUACUCCAAGUCGGUGGGACUAUAGUGAACAGUCUUGCCAUUUUCCUGAAUUCUAUAUAUUUUCAAUUAAUCUUUUGUCAUGGGCCAAAUAUUGCAUUGAUUUUUUUUUUUUUACUGAUUAAACCUUAUAAUACAGUAAUCACAAAUGCAAAUUUUGGACAAGGUUGGCACCAGAUGUUUACACUUUGUAAUUUUUGAUAAGGGACUAUUAUCUUCUUCUACUCUCCCUAACAAAUUCCGUUGAUCAUCAACAUUGCAAAAUGUUGAAUAUAACAACUAAAAUUAGCUACAUGUUACUCAACAAACUAAAGCUAGGGCCUUUAAAUUCUUUGUCAAUUAACAUUCUAAAAUAUUUGAUGUUUUAGAAUUUUAACUGUAAUUCUAAGAUUUCCAACAGGUAUUGUACAGGGAAUAAAGGAAACUUUCCUGGUGAUUAUAGGCCUGAAACUAAAUGCUUUACUUGGAUUUGUUUCACAGGAAAUUUGUGGAAAUCAUGCAAACAUCGUUCAGUGGAAUUCAGUCUGAAGGCCUUAUUUACACAUUUGUUUAGCCAUUCCUUUUUCUAACACCUACCAGCCUUGCACAGCAGUGAAAUCAGACAGUCUGAUGUUACAGAGAAAGACCAAAGAUAUUUCCUCCCAGCUCCUAAAUUAGAAUCAAUCUCUAUAGAAAAUCAAGAGUCUAAGAUUUUGUAUUUGUCUUUUACAAAAGAACAUGUACAAUAACACCUCAUUUAUAACCUCUGAAUAAUUUAAGAAAUACGUAGAAGUUCACUGUACUCUAGUGAAAAUACAGAUUAUUUUGGUACAAACUAUAUUAAUUGUAUUUUAAUGUUUGCUGUGUUUUUGAUGUCUGUGAGGCAGAUUGUUCUCUGGAAGAGUUCUCAGAAUGAUCAUCCGUUCCAGUUAUUUUGUUUUGUAGAACAUAAAUUGAAGACUCAGAGAGGAUAUUCACUUAAGAACAAGUAGCCAGUCAUUGGUAGAGGCUGGAAUUUAUGUUGUCUGAAACUUUUCUAUUGCUCAGGCAACCAGCCCUAACUGGGGAGGGACACAGAGCUCACUACAGUUUUUACGGUGCAUUUAAUAGAUAACUUUUAUUUUUAUUUUAUCUAUUUUAAAGGCAGAGUUAUAAAAGAGGAGAACACGCACACGCGCACGUGCGCACACAUAAACACGCACACACACGCUGUGAGAGAAAGGGAAGCUGGGGCUGGGCAAGGCCAAAACCAGGAGCCUGGAACUCCAUCUGGGUCUCCUAUAUAGGCACAGGGAAUCAAGCACUCAGGCCAUCCUUUGUUGCUUUCCCAGAUGUAUUAGCAGGGAGCUGGAUUAGAAGUGGAGCUGCCCAGUAUGGGAUCCCAGUAUUACAGGCAUGGCUUAAUGUGCUGUGCCACAAAGCUAUCCCUGAUCAUUUUUAUCAUUAAAAUGACAUUUAUUUCAAAAAAAUUCAAAAUUCACACAUGCAGAAAUGAAGAAAAUAUCAAUUUUUUUGACAGGCAGAGUGGACAGUGAGAGAGAGAGAGACAGAGAAAAAGGUCUUCCUUUGCCGUUGGUUCACCCUCCAAUGGCUGCCGCGGCCGGCGCGCUGUGACCAGCGCACCACGCUGAUCCGAAGGCAGGAGCCAGGUGCUUUCUCCUGGUCUCCCAUGGGGUGCAGGGCCCAAGCACUUGGGCCAUCCUCCACUGCACUCCCUGGCCACAGCAGAGAGCUAGCCUGGAAGAGGGGCAACUGGGACAGAAUCCGACCCCCCGACUGGGACUAGAACCUGGUGUGCCGGCGCCGCAGGCAGAGGAUUAGCCUAUAAAGCUGUGGUGCUGGCAGAAAAAUAUCAUUUGUAAUCCCGCCACUUAAAAACAGCCACUAUUAACACUUGGCACUUAGUAACAUUUUGCAAGUUCAUGAAUAUAUAAAUAUAUUCCCUUAUGAUGGUCUUUACAUUUUCUUUUUAAAUCUUUAAUUAUACCUUACAUGUAAAAACCUGCAGAGAAUUUUCAGUAAAUCUUAGGAAAUAAUUGUGAUUAUCUCUUCAAAACAACUUCAUUCAAGAUCAAUAAUUAAGAAAAAAUAAGCUUUUAAUUUAAAGUAUACUUUUUAAAUUUAAGAGGCUGGGAGAAGGAGAGAGAGUGACAGACAGAGAGCUUUCCCAUCCACUUUUUCACUCCCCAAAUGGUAGUAGGGUGGAGGCUAGGGCAAACCAGGGAUGGGGAACUGAGUACAGGUAUCCCGUGUGGGUGAACUACCACCUGCUGCUUCCCAGGGUGUACACUGGCAGGAACUUAAUCUGGAGUGGAACUGAGAGGUGAACCUAGGCAUUCCAUCUGAGAUGAAAUGUAAGCAUCUAAUGGUAGUAAUUCCUUUAUGCUCAAUUAUCUUCAGUUGUUACAACUGUUAGGCAGGUCUGAAAAAUUUUAAUACUUUGAUAAUUAUUGGUUCAUUACCCUGAAGAAAGUUUCUAUCAAUUAAUUCUUCUGACAUCCAUUUCAAAAUUUAUUUCUUUUAAAAUAUUUUGUUUUUAAAAGGAUUUCCUAAAAUGAAUAUAAAAAUCAUUAAAUGUUUUUAAUAUCAAUGUACUAGUGCCUUUUUUUUGAAUUUUUUAUCUUCUUAAUGAAAUACAAAAGAUAUAAAUAUUAUUUUCUGGAACUGUUUUUUUUAAAAGAUUUGUUUUAUUUAUUUGAAAGACAGUUACAGAGAGAGGUAGAGACAGAGGGAGAAGAGAGGUCUUCCAUCCACUGGUUCACUCCUCAAAUGGCCGAUCCGAAUCCUGGAACCAGGAGCUUCCUCUUGGUCUCAGUCUCCCAUGCAGGUGCAGGGGCCCAAGGACUUGGGCCAUCUUCGACUGCUUCCCCAGGCCAUAGCAGAGAGCUGGAUAGAAAGAGGAGCAGAAGGGACUAGAACCAGCGCCCAUAUGGGAUGCUGGUACUUCAGGCCAGGGCUUUAACCCGCUGCACCACGGCACCGGACCUUGGAACUGUUCUUAAAUAAUAGUAUAUACUGGGGCUGGCGUUGUGGCACAGCGGGUUAACACCCUUGCUCCCGCAUCCCAUAUGGUCAGUGGUUCGAGACCUGGCUGCUACACUUCCGAUCCAGCUCUCUGCUGUAGCCUAUGAAAGCAGUAGAAGAUGGCCCAAGUCCUUGGGCCCCUUCGCCAGCAUGGGAGACCCCAAGAAGCUCCUGGCUCCUGAAUUCAGGUGGCUGCAGCUCCAGCAGUUGCAGCCAAUUGGGAAGUGAACCAGCGGGUGGAAGACCUCUCUCUCUCUCUCAACCUCUCCUCUCUCUGUGUAACUCUUUCAAAUAAAUAAAUAAAUCUUUUUUUUUUUUUUAAAGAAUAGUAUAUACUGUGUGUUGAUUAUAAUAUUUCUUUUUUAAAAUUAUAUUUUAAAAUGUUUUAUAGUAUUGCUACAUAUACAGUAAUUCUGAGUUUCUUUAAAAUACAUGUUUAUGUUUUUAGGUUUAUAAUAUCUUUUUAAAAAUUAACACCCAGAAAGAAAUAUAUAUUAUCUUCUUUGAUCCCUCCUCCAAAAAUCUAACUUGAAUAUUUAAUUAAUCUGUUAACUGUAAACCAGUUAGGUAAGGAUCAAAGUGUAUUUUUUAAGUCUUUCAUAGAAAUGUAAAUUCAAUAAUUUGUUUAACAAAAACAUGCAUCAAAUACUGAAUAGUGACAAAUUGAUUUUGAACACUCUGUGUUCAGUGUGGAUUGAAAGCUCUGAGCCAUAUACACAUAGAACCAAAAACAUUUGUUUUCCUUUUUCCCGUACAAGCUUAUAUUUUAAUAGUUCUGAAGUUGCAGACAUUUCUAUUUUAUCACUUGAAAAGUUCCGUUAUAUAAAUUAGUGAAUGCUUACUUAUAUAUGUUUUGAAAUUAAAUGUCACAUGUUCCUUUGAAAAAUAUUUCCAUAGUUUUUGUCUCCUCUACUGGUAGCUGUUCAUCUUCUAAAAUUAAUGAAAUGCUUGUAAUAAUAUGGUUUUCUGACUAAAUUCAUGCUGUUGCUUUUUCCCCUGUUUUUUGUUUUCUUUUUGCAUGAGACUACUUCUACAUGUAGUAGUUUAAUAUACAAUACUAAAGUUGAUAUCUGUAUAUCAUAGGUAUGUAUGAAAAUUAAUGUAUUUGAAUGUUAAAAACUACGUAAACUAAGAAUAUUUUUAUACAUUAAAGUGAAAAUUGAUGUGCACAUCAUUGAGUUUAAGUAUCUUAACUUUCUUUGUAACAAAUAAAAUCGUUGAUAUUUUAUUUUAAGGGGGAAAAUUUCAGUAUUUUACCAUGUUAAACAUUGGACACUUUGAACGAAUAUGUUGUUUAUAGUUCUUUGAGAAAUUAUGGAAUAUGUACUCUAUAGAAUACUACACAGCAGUAAAAAAAAUGAAAUCCGGUCAUUUACAAGCAAAUGGAGGAACCUGGAAAACAUAUGCUGAGUGAAAUAAGCCAGUCCCAAAGGGACAAAUAUCAUAUGUUCUCCCUGAUUGGUGACAACUAACCGAACACCAAAAAGGAAACCUGUUGAAGUGAAAUGGACACUAUGAGAAACAAUGACUUGAUCAGCCCUUGUCCUGUUGAGGAACAACUUACUACUUUAUUCCUUUUAGUAUUUUUUUGUUCUACUUAAUACCAUUGGUUGAACUCUUUAAUUAACACAUAAUUAUUCCUAGGUGUUUAAAUUUAACUGAAAAGUCAUCCCUGUGAAAUAUAAGAGUGGGAAUAAGAGAGGGAGGAGAUAUACAGUUUGGCACAUGCGUAAUUGGACUUACCCCUAAUGGUAGAGUUAGAAGCGUGCCAGGGGAUUCAAAUUCAAUCCCAUCAAAGUGGCAUGUACCAAUGCCAACUCACUAGCCAAAGUGGUCAGUUUCAGUUCAUAAUUGAUCAUAAUGAUAGGAUUAAGAGUCAAAGGGAUCACACAAACAAGACUAGUGUCUGCCAAUACUAAGUGAUAGAAUAAAAAAGGGAGAGAACAAUUCAUCAUGGGAAGCGGGAUACACAGCAGACUCAUAGAAUGGCAGAUGCCCUAAACAGCUUUGGGAUUUAGUAUCUGUAUGAUGUUGGAAAAUCUAACUAACUUCUUUGUGCCUCAGGAUCCUCAUUUUGAAAUGAGGAAAAAUACUUUUUCAGCCCAGGUAUGUUCUGAUGAUUAUAAAUAAAAAUAUGUGUGUUCAAGGUAUGUGUCACCAAAAUUUUUGGCUCAUGAGAAAUACUUGUGAAAUGUUACUGUAUUUUUAUAUGAGAGUGAUAACUAAUAAUGCUUUUGAUUAUCACAUUAAUUUAAGAAGCUUUGUCUUUAAUAUUCCAUUUUAGGUUGUUCAAUAUACAGAACAAAACAAUUCAUUUCAUUCAAUACAAUUUUAUUGUGUGGCUACUUCUUACUAGGAAAUGCAUCAAAAAUAUGUCAAAAUUCUAGUGAGGAGGUAUGUUACAAAGAGAGUAGCUUUCAUAUGUUUGUGAUAAAUCAUAAGCAAAAGAUACUCUGGAAUGAAAGAGGAACAUUUAGCCCAUCUUGCAAAUUGGACAAAAAAUUCUAUGUGAGAUGGUAUCUGAGAGGAGUCAUGAAGAUGAACUAUUAUCAGAUGAAAGAAGAGAGUAUCAGAUAGGGAAAUCUGCAGCAGUAGAUUUAAAGAAAUAAUUGGGAGGUUAAUUUGCCACCUGCUUAAUCCCAAAUCAGAAUGCCGGUUCAAGUUCUGGCUACCCUGCUACAAAUCCAGUGUCUUGCUAAUGCACCUGAGAAGGCAGCAGAAGAUGGCACAAGUCCUGGGACCACUGCCACUCAUUUUGGAGGCCAAGGUGAAGUUCCUUGGCCCUGUCUUCAGCUUGGCCCACACCUGGUUCUAGUGGCCUUAGGGGAGUGAACCCAGUGAAUGGAAAAUCUUUAGUCCUCUCUUUCUUUCCCUAUUUCUCAGUUGCUCUUUUUUUCAAAUAAAUCUUUAAAAAAAUGAAGUAUCUUCAAAAGUACAGUGGACAGUUAAUUCCGUGUGAUUAAGCAUUAGUAUGUCAGGAAGAAGCAAAGGAUGAAACUGAAGUGUUGAAGAUGUCAACAAGGGACUUUUAUGUUUUGCUAGGGACUUUUUUCCCUUUUAUUUUCUCCCUUAAAAUAAUUGAUGGUGUUUAACAUAUCAAUUUGAUAUACAGAAUUUGUUGUAAACUCAGGGUACAGGAUGCACUAUUCAAAUAAACUAAUGUAAAACAAUUCCAGUAUUCAGAUAUAGUGGCAUAUGUACAAUGAAAUAUUAAAGUACCCUGUAAAACACUUUUAGAACUGAUUUUGGAGACAAUCAAAUUUAUAUGAUUCUUCUUGGAAAGAUACUUGGAUUUGGCUUUGGGAAGGAGAGAAGUAAGGAGAGCAUAAAGAUUAAAGAACACUGGGGCUGGGGCUGGCUGGCGCUGUGUAGUAGUGGGUAAAGCUGCCGCCUGUAUUGCCAGCAUGCCAUAUGGGUGCUGGUUCAAGUCCCGACCCAGCUGCUCCACUUCCCAUCCAGCUCUCUGCUAUUGCCUGGGAAAGCAGUAGAAGAUGGCCCAAGUACCUGGACCCCUACACGCUCGUGGGAGACCCGGAAGAAACACCUGGCUCCUGGCUUUGGAUCAGUGCAGCUCCGGCUGUCGCGGCCAGUUGGGGAGUGAACCAGCAGAUGGAAGACCUCUCUCUCUCUCUCUGUGCCUCUCCUUCUCUCUCUGUAUAACUCACACUUUCAAAUAAAUAAAUAAAUAAAUAUUUUUAAAAAUAUUAAAGAACACAAAUUAAAGUACUCAGUACCAUUGAUCAAGCUCUGUGCUUAGUUCUUUAGCACAAGACAUCUACAUAAUUAUGACAACAUAGACCUGAUUAGAAUUUCUAAAUCAUAUCUACAUUUAAUAUGUCUAUUCAAUAUAAGUAUCUGUUAAAAAGGAAGCUGACAGUCUAGAGAGAUUAAGUAUUUGUAUAGAGUUAAAAAUGUUCAAUAGAUAUGAAGUGGGAAUAUAAAUCAAAUUUCACUUGAUUCCAAUGAUAUAGAUGGAAACCACUAGUGUGUAUUUCUCCUGCUUCCUUUAUUUCUUCCUCAGUGGCACAGUAAUAGUUCAGUUGUCUCCCGUCCCCUAGGAGAGGAUCACAGUUGUUCUGAGUAAAUUGUUACCCUGUCAUUUCCCAUACCAGUACUUGGUUCAGUCACAAAAAUGGGAUAGAAUUUUGAUCAAUGAAAGGGGAAGUCUGAUGCCUUUAAAAGAAAGAUUUCCUCAUAAUGAAAAGAGAUGGAGGCAGACAGCUUAAGUUGCAACUUGGGAUACCCACGACUGCUUGGUAUGGUCCUGUCUGCUUGGCUUCUGACCCAGCUCCUUUCUGAUGGAUACCCUGGGAGUUCAUGGUGAUGGCUUAAAUACUUGGGUCCCUGGUACCCAUGUAGAUCUAGAUUGAGUUCCUGGCUUCAGCCUUGGCCAUUCCUUGCACUUGAGGGCAUUUGGUGAGUACACCAUCUCUUUCUGCUUUUGAAUGAAUUGAAAAUAAAUAGAAUUAAAAAAAGAGAUAUACAGGGCACGUGGUCCUCAUUUUUGUCUAAGCAUCAUCAUGUCAGCAUGUGACACCAGACACUGGCAACCUAUCCUAUGUCAUGAUGAAGACAUCGAUGAUAUCUCAGAAGAGGCAAAGUGGUUUCUCCAUGAUAUUGUUUAGCCUCUGAACCAACCCUGGAUAUCUAUGUAGAUUUUCUAUGUGCAAAAAAUGAAAACAUUUUUUUACAGCCACACUUAAAGCCAAAUUCCUACUAUCCCUAGACUUUCAGUUAAAACACAUUGAAUUAGUUGGUCAGCUUUAUAAGUAACAAAUUCAUUGUGUUCUCCUCACUUUUAACUCCCUUUUUAUGGUCAUUAGGAAAAAAUAGGUAAGUCUGAAAACUUACCUAUAAAUAAAAAAACCUGUAAGCAUCUAUUAGUGUCAGAGAAUACAGAUCUGAAAGAGAGGUGACAAUGGAGAUUGCUGAAGACUGUUAGGCUCAUAAGGAAAACAGUUAUAAAUUCUCAAAUUGUUUUAUACAGAUAAUAAUUUCAUAUGGUUUAAAUUUGUCCUAAAUUUUGUAAUAGUUGCAAGAGAAAUAAUAAAACUAAGUGGCUCUUCCUUUGGAUACCUUUAAGUGUUUAUUACUCCCUGAAUACUACAUUUGACUUUUAGGUUAGCUAUGUGGUUAGACUGGAAAGUUUAUGUUCCAAAAAGUUUUCACUUUGGACAUUUAGUAAGGAAUAUUAAUUAGCUUUUAGUGAAUAGACAUGCUGUUUGGAGGUCUAAGACAAAUGGCGGCAUAAAAUGCUUUAAGAAGAAAUAAAAGAGAUUAAAACUGAAGUGGCAUCUAUAUACUUGCUACACUUCUCAUAUUACAUCGAACAUCACUGUUUGCAGGCACAAACAUUUUAGGUAAUAGAAGGAAGAUUAACUCUUUCUUCUCUUUUUAAAAUGCUUCUUUUCUUUUUUUGUAAAGAUUUUAUUUAUUUGAGAUGUAAAGUUAAAGUGACAGUGAGAGGGAGAGGCAGAGAGAAAGGUCUUCCUUCUGUUGGUUCACUCCCCAAAAGGCCGCAACGGCUGGAUCUGUGCCAAUCUGAAGCCAGGAGCCAGGUGCUUCCUCCUAGUCUCCCAUGCAGGUGCAGGGGCCCAAGCACUUGGGCCAUCCUCCACUGCUUUCCCAGGGCAUAGCAGAAAGCCGGAUUGGAAGAGGAGCAGCUGGGACUAGAACUCAGUGCCCAUUUGGGAUGGAUGCCGGCUCUGCAGGCGGAGGAUUAACCCACUGUGCCGUGGCGCAGCCCCUAAAAUGCUUAUUUUCUUGAACCCCUUCCAUAAACAAGACAUUAGGCAAAUCACUUAUAUGUAAAUUGUUGAAUUACAUUUUUGAGGUGAUAUUUUUUCUUGGUAUUUUGUUAUAAUUUUUUUUUUGACAGGAAGUUAGAGAGAGAGAGAGACAGAGAGAAAGGUCUUCCUUCCAUUGGUUCACCCCCCAAAUGGCCGCUAAGGCUGGCAUCCAAAGCCAGCAGCCAGGUGCUUGCUCCUGGUCUCCCAUGCGGGUGCAGGGCCCAAGCACUUGGGCCUUCCUGGGCCACAGCAGAGAGCUGGACUGGAAGAGGAGCAACCGGGACUAGAUCCCGUGGUACUGGCGCCGCAGGCAGAGGAUUAGCCAAGUGAGCUGUGGCGCCGGCCUGUUAUUAUAAUUUUAAUAACCAUAAAUCAUGUAGUUAUAAAAAAAAGCAUCCUUUAACAUUCCUGGUCAUUCCACAUGUAGAUGGAAACUUUUUUUAUUCAGUUUUUUAUUUAUUAAUGUGAAUUUGAACUAAAAAGUACUGUUAUUUUUCAAAUAUUUUUCCAAAUAGUCAUUUUAUUACUGGAAUAUAGUUUGAAACAUUAUAUUGUGUAACAAAUAUCCCACUUAAAUGUUGGAAAUUGUACUAUUUUAAGCAUUUUAGUCAGGUAAGUAUAAUAUACAACUUUGUUCAUGCCCUAGAUUAUUCUACCUAUUGACAAAUAUGUUGUCUCUUAUUUAAGGAAUUUCAUAGUCUGAUAACUCAUUUUGUUGCAACUAUACCAUUAUGCUUAUUUGUAGUUUAAUUUUUUAUCUUUUUAAUUUUUUCAAUUUUUAAUAAAAUUGUAUUGCUUUACUAUUUUAACCAAUCCUAUUUAAGACUUGAGGUAGUGAGAUGUGAGGUGGUCUGCAGAAUGUUUUAAAAGAUUAACCUCCAGGUAGACUUCUGCUUUCUUCUCCACUUUGUCUAACCAGUUUAUUACCUCUGUUGUUUACACAAACAUGUAGACAUCUGUACACUUUAGUUUUAUUUAUAUUACACAACAGUCAUAUUAGAAAUUACCCGAAUUUAUUGUUGAACUAUUCCACUAGAUGGAAGCGGUUAUAUGAAAAAAAUAAUCUUACCUAUAGCUAAAUGAUGAUGCUUUUAUGUCAUGUUUGGUAGAUAAGUGUGCUGUAAGUAAAUACACACACACAUACACGCACACAAAAUGAACAAUUUAAGUUCACUUUACUCUCAAUUGUAUACACACAAAUUGUGUGAAUGUGUGUGUGUGAGCGUUUGAGAGUAAAGUGAACUUAAAUUUAUGUGGCAUAUUUUUUCAGGUCUAAAAUAUUCCUAAUUCAUAAAUUCUAUUAUAUGCUUAUACUUUUUUUUAAGAAAAAAAUUAAUUUGAAAGGCAGUUACAGAGAGAGCGAGAGAGACAGAGAUCUUCCAGAUGUUGGUUCACCUGCCGAAAUGCUGAAACAGUCAGGAUUAGUGGAACUCCAUCCAGGUCUCCCAUGUGGUGGCACAGGCCUAACCACUUGGACCAUCCUCUGCUGCUUUCCCAGGUGCAUUAGAAAGGAACUGGAUCUGAAGAUUGCAGGCAGCAGUUUAAUAUGUUAUGUCAUAAUGCUGGCACAUGCUAAUAUACUUUUAAACAAAAUCUUGGAACAAUUGAUUGUAAACUUCUUGUUAAUUAAGCAUGGAGAGUAUUCUGAAGACCUAGAAUUUAAUAAACUGUUUCGAUAAGGAUCAGAUAUGGUCUAGUGAAAGCAAAAUUCAUAUAUGAAGCUGAAUAUGUGAAACCCAAUUGUCUUUAAGCUCAGCAUCCUCUUACAUACCUGGUAAAUUAACCAAUGAGUGGAAUCAUUUACACUGCUGUUUCUGGAUCACAAACUGUGUCAAACUCUGUGAUAGAUGCUUUCUAUAUAAGAUUUAAUUUGAAUUUGAAUGCCCUGCAGAAAGCAGAAUUUAAAUUCAUAUUUCUCUGACUCCAAAGCUUGCUGUUUUUCUUAUUUUGAUAUUUAUAUUAGGAAUAAGUAAUAAACUAUUUAAAGUAAGUUAUUUAUAGGUAAUUUUAAUAGCAAUGAUUCAUGUAAAAAAAGUUAAUUACUAAUAGUAUCUACAAAAUUUAACCUUAAUGUUAUUAAUACUUUAGUAUCAUUUAUAUUAGAAGGCAUUCUUAAGAAAAGACAUACCAAAUGGAAAUAAGUAUCAUAAUAAAAGAAAUUGUACAACAUAAUAUGAAACCAUGUAGUAAAAGGUAAAUAUUAUUUCUAUAUUUGCUCUGAGAUUUUAAAAAAAUUCUAAGUUGUCUUAGUUGUCAUACUCAAGUAACAAGGUUUUUAAUUACUUAACAUUUCCAUAGGUACUGGAAAAAUGCUGUGAGCAAAGUUCUAUGUCAGAUCUUCCCAAUUUGUACAUUGGUGGGAAUUUCCUAGAAUUAGAAAUUUUUGGGAGAAGAAACUAGUAUUUCAGUAUUAAUGGCAAUAUGUAACAAGACAUAAUGCAAAGCCAAGGGCAUUAGGAAACAAAGAAUUGUCACAUUAAUUCAAAACCUUAUAGUUCUUGAGAAGUUCUGGGAAAACUCGGAAGUUCAGAAGUAUCUGGUUAUGGAAUUCACAAAUAUGGGUUCCAUGCACCAUUUGAGAGAUUAAAUUUAAGGAGGCCAUGGGAUCUCUAAUUGCAGUUCAGUUGUGUAUGCUAACUUCAUGAUUAUUUGCUGAAGUUUAUAAAGAAUUGUAUGCCUUGAAUGUUUGUCUUCUUUGUAAGCAUUUGGCUGAGAAAGAAAAAAGUUAAACUUUCUCUGGAAUAAUUGACCCACAAAAUUUGACCCAUAAGUUACAACACAGAGCAUAAACCCAUAAAUAAUUUACUCUUAUUAGUUUGUCCUUAUAUAUUAACUGGUCAGUUUUAUGAAAUGAAAGUCAACCAAAACUGAUUACAGUAUAAUAGUAAUAUGUUUGGUCUACAAUUUUAUUUUACUCUGUUUACUUGGUAAUAAGUAGCUUGCUACUGUGUCAUCAAUGCUGUCAUAAAUAAAGGACCUUAAAAAUAUUAUUCAUAUCAAGCAGGUUAGGUAUAAAUAUGCUUGCAUUAAUUCAUUUUGCUUCCAGUUCCCACACCCCAGUGCAAAAGUACCCAAAUGACACCUGCAUAUAUAGUGAGUUGGCUGUUUUAUAGAAGAAAAUAAUUGACCUAGGGGUACCCACUGCUUUUAUAGCAAUCAGUAAAGAAGCCUCCUGUUUGUCCUAGAAAGAAGCAUUACCGUAUCUCUAAAGGUUUCUCACUGAAGACACAACUCUGCGAAAUAGCUCAGAUAAACAGACCUUGCACUCUUGGCACAGCUAUCAAGAUCUGUAAGUACACAAGAGACCACUUGAAAAAAUUGCCUUACCCAACAGUACUUUCCAAUUUUCUAACAUUUUUCUGUUUGCAAGUUCUUAUAUAUACAACCUGAUUUUAUCCUCACUUGGUGUUUAACACUCAUUUGCUCUUUUCAAGUGUAAGAAACAUUUAGACAUUUAACAGAUUUAUCCUUCAAUAAAUGUUUUCAACUCUCUAAGAACAUAUAUGUAUUACCUCUCUUUUGGUUAUAGUAUAAUUAUAGAAAAUCCACAAUGCUACCAAAACUUUACAUAUAUAGUUCUGUUUUUUUUUGUGUUCAGAUAUCAAUAUACUUGGCUAACACUAAGAUGUGUUCUACUUGUACUCAGGUACUACUUCAGUAAAUAUCCACAUUGUAUUCCCUAUUUAAAUGGCUUGGAAGAGGAUUGUACCAUGAAUCAGUCAUAAUGUAUUACUAAAUUAUUAUCAAACUUUAUUGUGCAUAAACACAUCUAAUGUAUUCUUUAGAAUUUUAGAUUCCUGGGUUCAGCUACAAAACGAGAUGCCUUUCUAUAGGUUUGUGUUCAGAUUAUGCAUUCACAAUUUUCUUUAGGAGUUUGAUGCAUUUACAGUUAAUAUUUGUUAAAAGGUUGGAUUUACUCCAUCCCUCUCAUUACUUUAUUUAUUCCAUCUGUUCUUUGUUCAUCCAUAAUCCCUUCUUUGGUAUGAAUGCAAAAAUUUAUAUUCUGUUAUAUUUCAUUUGCAGGCUUUUCCAGUGUACCUUUUUGCAUUGUUUUUAAUAGCCACUCUAGAGGUUAAAAUAUGUAUCUUCAGGUAAAUCCCAUGUAAAUUAUCUGUAAAUUCUCUUCAGUGAAUUACACCUAGAGUGCUAAAAUCUUUGUUACUUAUUUUUAAAAGAAAUUUACCUAAAUGAGGAUAUGCUCAGGAAAAAUACACAUAUGAUUUUGGAGGGGGUAAUGGAUUUCUGGAGGUAAGAAAUAGCUGCCUAUCACUCAUUUUAACUUCACUCUAACCUUUGAGUAACCUGUACUACUUUGAUGGGACUGGAAUUCAGGGCAGUUGAAGCAGUAAGUUUUGGCCAAUUAGGAGCAUGAAAUUAAAUUAAUUAUUAUUUGGAAAAAUAGUGUAAAGCAAUUAAAUGGACUAAGAGAUAGCCUCUGUGUGGGCUAAUGACCAACAUAACCAAUAUACAUUUAUCUAGGACAGUUGUGGAACUGGAUAUUUAAUAGGUGGAAGUUUCUAAGGAAUCCAUGUACACAGAUGCUUAGCAACUGGUGCUGUUUUCCACUAGCAGUAAAUUUUUUUCUUAGUAUUUAUCUUUACUCUUACACUUGUUUGUGCAUCAGAAUUUUUUUCUCUUCAUGCCUGAGAUCUUUCAUGACAUAACUUUGGCCACAUUUGGAAAAAAAUCAGGAACUUCAAAAAUUCAAAAACACCAUAUUAAACACCAUAAAGCAAGUUACUUUUGGCUGUUCCUCUAAAGGUCAUGUAAUACUUUGUGUUUUCUCCAACAUGACACAGCAUGACAGAACAAAGUAGUUAUCUUUUGUACUUGUCAGCAUUGUUCUAUCGACUUCAAAUGAUGAAAUGCUUCUGAGCAUGCUGUUGCUUUUUCCUUCGGGGGCUUGUGCUGAUUUCUUUAAAGUAUUAUGUAUAUCAAAUAAAUCAUUCAUUUAUUAUUCCUGACACUGAAUUUGGUAAGAAAAAGUAUCUGUACUUCACUUCAAAAUUGCAUUUGGAUGCUCUUUACUUUUGAAGUAAUGAAAAUGCAGUUCAUUUAUAUUUUUUGUCUUCAAGUUACCAUUUUUUUCUUAAUUCCUGUGUUUGCCAAGAAAACACUGUCUCUGGAUGUUGUGGAGGACAAAGUUUUAGAUAGUCAAAGAAGUAAACUUUAACUUUUAAUAAAGAUUUUAAUGAAAAACCUCAAGUCGUGGUCAUACUUUGAUUUGAUAACUGUUAAUAUGACAAAACUUGCAUUUGAGUGAUAGCAGCUGAUAGAACAGAAAAACCAAUCUCUUAAGUGGUUUAUUUCCCACUGCAUAAUGGUUUGGUGCAGAUGUUUUUGGUUGAACUGCUGCCAGAUGGGGGAAAGAAGAAUGGAAAGUUGCAUAUGGGAAGUUUCUCAGAAGCUAAACCUGAAAGUGGCAUACAUUGUUUUUGCCCAUAUUCUCUUGGCUAGGACUUAAGUUAUUGACAUUCACAGCUCUAAGAGAAAUAUGUUCAAGAUAUGUGCUUAGAAGUGGGUUUGCAAUUAAGGAAACUUAACUGGGGUCUUUGUCAUAGUGGAGGGAGAUUUUUUAUUUGAGCAAGGUCAGCUUUGAGGUAAAAAUUAAUGAGUGAUUAUAACCCUGAGCAAAUUAGUAAUCUUCUGUUGACCAUGGUAUACUACUACAAUAUACAAUAUGACUUUUACCUACCUCAUGAGUUUUAUAAAGAUUAAAAAAUAGAAUGCAUAUAAAAUGCCCAGCACAAUUCAUGGAAAAGUUUAAACACUUAAAAAUGUUAGUUUUAACCUUCACUGUCUAAGUAAUAUACUGCUUUAUUCUGCGAUCAUCCGUAGGAAAUAAUUUAAUUUGAUAUUAGCAUAGUUCAACACCAAAGCACUUUUUAAUUAUUCAUUUACUUUUAUUUAUUUUUAGUAAUGUAUUUAUUUAUUUGAAAGGCAGAGUUACAAAGAUAGGGAGAGAUCAAGAGAUAUUCCAUGCUUUGGUUCACUCCCCCAAUGGCCUCAAUGGCCAUGGCUGGGUUAAGCCGAAGCCAGGAGUUUCAUCCACGUCUCCCAUGUGAGUGCAGGUGCCCAAGUACUUGGGCCAUCUUCUGUUGAUUUCCCAGACACGAUAGAAUGCUGGAUAGGAAGAAGAUCUUCCAGGACACGAAAUGGUGCCCUUGUGGGAUGCUAGUGUCACAGGUGAUGAUUUAACCUGUUACACCACAAUGCUGUCCCCAUAGGGCAGUUUUUUAAGAAAGGAAUUAUUUUAUGAAUAAUAAACCAUGGAUGUUCAGAAAAUUGUGCAUUUUAGCAGUUGUUUAAUAUAAAUAAAUAUAAAUAAAUAUUUACUCAGUAGACAUAACUUUUGGGGCAGAUAGAACACAAAUUCAACACAUUUUUUUCCCAGGCAGCAGCUGUUAAUUUUGAAGGUUUUAAUCAUUUUGCAUCACAGUUGAAUUUGGAGAGGAAAUAAAUGGCAAACUUCAAUACAGAUAUACAAUAUACAUAUAUACAAAUGCAAUAUACACAUGCCUAUAUACAAGUAUGUGUAUAUGUAACUAUAUAAUCCAGGGAAGGAGAGGAGAGGAAAACUCCUUACUUUUCUGUAAGUUCUAUCCUAUGGUAAUGUUUCCCUCUUGUUAACCUGAAUAUUUCCAUAUCUUGGUUAUUCAAGUCAUUUUAAAUCUAAUAUAAUUUCAGUUAUACAUUCAUAAAGAAAUGUGUCCUGCAUACUUUAAUAGCAUGGGACUUCCAGUGUAAAUAAUCCAUGAGAAUCUACAUUUAGAAAAAGUACAACUUUUCAUUAAUUAACAGAAAGCAUGAUUUAUAUGCCACUUGUCUUUGCACAUAAAAUAAUCUUAAAGAGAAAAAAGAACAUCAAAACUAAGUGUAAUAUAUGAAAUUAUGCUUUUAAGACAGUAAAAUUCAGAUUUCUGCUUGCUUUUCAGAGUUCCAAUGUCCUUGGCAGCAAGUAAAUUUAGUUAUUUCAGUUGUAGGUUUAGAUUUUAAAAGUUUUCUCUAGCGUGAGUCAUAAAAUAAUUAAUUGAAGAAUUUUCUCUUUGUAUUGAAAUAUAAUAAAAUCUCACAAUCACCAAACCUCUGGAGUACUGGAGUAAAAAUUCUUGCUACAGAAACUUACAUGCACACUUAAAACCCAAAAUUCUGGAAAUAUUCUAAUUUUACAACAACCAAAGAAAUAUGUGGUUAGGAGUUUUCCUCUCUUUCAUUCCAGUCCUUUUUUCCCCUGGCUUUGUUAGGUAGAUUUUCAGCUAUUGUUUAAGUUAUCCAGUGUCUUCAGUAAUUUCUGUCUAAUCAGUUGAUGAGUAUUUACUUGGAUCAGGUGCUGACUUUGCAGUAUCAUCAGUUCACAUUCGAAUUCAGUUAUACGUUUCCCAAGGCCUACGUUAUGCCAGCAAACAGACAAAUCACACAUCUCAAGAUGUCAGUGUAAAGUCAACAGAGAGGAUGAGGGCAACAUUCCUUUCAUGCUAGGAUUGGCUGUGACUGGAGAAGGGGAAUGUAUUCAUGCUGCUUUUGUCUACUUUAUGUCAUUAGAUGUGUGGUCAUGUAUCUUUGUCUCUGUCACUGCCACUGCUGCUACUGGUGGUACCUUCUGUGUACAAAUUCACAAAGACAGUGGUGUGUCAGGCUGUUUGUACAGAACAGAGAAUCAGGGCACUCCCUUGAUUAUACCUAUUAAUAUUCUUUUUAUGUUUUCUUGAUAUUUACGAGUAUCUACCUUUUUCUCAUUUAAAUAAAAUUACCCUUUCAGGAAGAAUAGAGUUCAGGUAUUUCCUCUGAAUAUACCAGAUGUAGUCCAAGGAUUUUCUAGACCAUUGGACAGUUUCUAACAUUGGCAGAUCUCCCUCUCUCUCUCUCUCCCUCUCUCCCUCUCUCACACACACACACAUACACACACACACACACACCCCUUAUUUCUACUUCUGUUGGUAGUAAAUAUAAGUUUAAAUGAAGAAAUUUUGAUCUUUAAACUGUAUGAGUGGACAGAAUAUUAUUGUGUAAAUUGUCCUAAAUUUUGGUUCAACAUUUAUGUUACCCACCAUAAAGCAGAUACUUUGUACAGCAAGGUUAGACAAUGGAAACAUUCUAAACAUGCCUCUAUUAUGCGACAAAAGUUACUGUCCCCUUCUCCCCAUCAACCUUAGAAUACAUUUUAUUAUUGAUCCCUAGAAAGAAAUAGUUGAGUCAACAAAAUGAAGAAAAAAUAAUUAAUUAAAUGCUAGGACUUUUAUAAUAGCUCCGUGGUAGUCAUUUAUAUGUUAAUGUUUUACAAUGACUAAUUUAAUUGGCAGAUGGUAGUUCAUAUUACACUAAGAGAGUUGGGCAUUUCCCUAGGCCAAAUGAUUUUGUACCCAGUUUUCAAUUAAGGGAAGGCUGCCAAUUAUCUGCAGUGGGUUUUAUUUUAAUUACUGGGUGAUUAGGACAGCUAGGUAACCAGCCCAAAGGAAGAAGAGCUCAACUGCGAGUGUGAAUCCUUAUUAUGCAAACCUAUAAAAUAAAUAAAGAAAACCCAUGCAAAGAAAUUGUUUUAGAGAAAUGGUUGAUAAUUUACCUGUGGUGCUUCAUAUUGUUUUACUCAUUUGAUCAAUAAAAUGUAAGUUUAAAAUACUAAUCUGGCCAUUUGUGAACUAGACAUUGUUUCUGUAAGAAAAAACAAAUUCAGAGGAAAGGAAUUAUAUGUUAACAAUCAGUGUACAACAUGUCUUGUAUUUCAUGUGUUUUGAAAUGCUGACAUCUAAGAAGUCACUUCUGGAGUGACCUUUGUCAUAUGAAAUGCGCUUGAGACUGAUGGCAGAGAGCUGGCGUAAAUAAAUUCAUGAUGUUAUUGUUGCCUACACCGUCCGAUUUUUUAGCCAUGAUCCUUUUCUACAUCGCCAGUUAUCCUUUAAAAUUUUCCAUGUAACUGUCUAGCAUCACUUUAACUUCACCAGAUCUAUACCAGCCCUGUUUACUCCUCAGCCUAGGUGCUUUCCCAGAUUUCUGUGUUCUUGUGUUGUCCACAGGAACCACCAAUUUGACUUUCCUUCAGACAUGAAUGGUUAUAGUUAUUGAUUUUAUGCUUCCAUUCUUCUUUAUUUGUCAGUCACUCUUUGAAAAAUUCUUAUACCAGCACCUUUAUCUCCAUUCAGUCUGUUGUUCUGAUCUAGAUUCUCACUGCUAAGCUACUACAAUGGCCUUUACUAGCCAAAUAUUCUCAUUUCUCCAAAUUAUCCUUAAAUAAUAAACAACAGGUUUUUAUAUGAUUUCUUCCCUACUUAAGAAAUAUUCCACUGGCUGUUAAAUUAAGUAUAAAAUAUAGGGCCGGACGCUGUGGUGUAAUGGUUAAAAGCUACCACCUGAGGUGCCAGCAUCCCAUAUGGGCCCCAGUUCGAGUUCUGGCUGCUCCACUUCUGAUCCAGUUCUCUAGUAUGGCCUGGGAAAGCAGUAGAAGAUGGCCCAAGUCCUUGGGCCCCUGCACCCAUGUGGGAGACCCAGAAGAAUCUCCUGGCUCCUCGCUUCAGAUUGGCGCAGCUCUGGCCAUUGUGGCCAUCUGGGAAGUGAACCAGUGGAUAGAGGACCUCUCUCUCUCUCUCUCUCUCUCUCUGCCUCUGCCUCUUUCUAACUCUGCUUUCACACACACACACACACACACACACACACACACUCUUAAUUAUAAUCACGUGGAGAACUUUAAAUUAAAUAGUGUUACCGGGUGCUGUGCUGCUACAUUCUGAUUUAUUGAUUUACUUGGAUCCACAUGAUCAGGAUCUCCAUGGAUAGGGCCUUGAAGUGUAUUUUUGUAGGAGUGCAGGAGAUUCUGAGGUUCACCCAGCUUAGAGAAGCACUACCCCAUACCCUUUUUCUUUCUUGUACUCUCAACUGAUUACUGCUAUGAAUUGUUUUCCUAAGCUAACAAAAAAUGGUUUAUUCAUAGAUAGAAUGAAUAGAACCAUAGAAUUUAUUAAACAAACUGAUUGUAGAAUUCUCAAAUAUCCAAUGAAUUACUGGAAACAUUUAAAUGCAUUGUGAUAAAAUAUUAUUCCACUGCACUUUGGGAGAUAUUAGGAGUGAAAUAGUAUGAUUACCAAGACUGAAGGUCUUGAUGAGACUCCUGCCACUAGGAGGAAUAUAUAUUUAAGUCGAAAUAAUAAAAAUUCAGAAAACACUGUUUUUGCAAGAGGAAUGUAUCUGAAUUAUAUGGAGAGCCAUUCAGAAAUUCAGAUAAUUUUUUUUCUGCAUUCUGCUUUGGCUGGCUAUAGUAUAUUUUAAAAGACUUUAGGAUUUAAAUAGCUUAAAUAAAAUGGUAAAUUCAAGUUGGGAAAUGCUAAGUCACUCUUCAACAGUAAAGGAUCAAGAGAAUUUAAUCUUCUGUCUUUGCUCCUUUCACUCUUGUAUAUUUUUAUUUGAAAGAUUGGAAGUUGAAAAAGGGAUAUGCAGGAAGUUGGGGAUGGGUAGUAUGCAAUUUUAUACUCACCCAAAAUCCCAGGGUGCACAUGGGCAAGCUCCUCUCCCCACAUUCACAAAUGUGCACACACUGAAAAUUAUGAAGACAUUUUUCCCCUCUAGGAUUAAAAUAUACAUAAGGAAUGGCUGAGUUAAAUAUAUUAGGGAGGUGAUAGAGCUUGGUAUAGCCAGGGCAAUAUGGGUCCUAUCCAAAAGGAGUUUGUAUUUGUAUUUGUGUGUAUUAAUUAGUUUUAAAAUACAUUUAGAAAUACAAAAUUUAUGUAACCUUUAUUCAACUCUAAGAUGCUCUCAAAUUAUUCCAUUUUUAACUCCACAUGCAGGAAAUAGAGCAUAUUUUCCAACUGAAUUUGGCCAUUAGCCUCCAGUUUUCAACUUGUUACAUUGUGCUCUAAGAUGUAUAAAUGUCAAGAUGUUUUUCUUUCUUUAACAGAUCUUGUAGUAAUUUCUUGUUGUUAUUUUAACAGAUUGCUACUUUAGAUGUGAUGUGAGUGAUAUAGUAAUAUUUCUUUCAUGAAAUGGUGUGAGGAUGUAGGACUCGCAUAUAUCAAAAUCAGAUUGAAACCAGAGAUUGUUCCUUUCUUUCUAGUUUUCUAUCUGAAAACUUUUCUCCCAUCUUGAAGUAUUUGCAGUGAAAUAAGAAGUCCGUUAAUUUUUUACAGGUAUAUGUCUCCUAUAAUGGGCAGCUGAAUCUUGUGCGUCUAAGACAUAUGUAUGAAUUAAAAGGUUAAUGUCUUUAUUGCAUUCAUUGAUUUUACACAUAAUUGUUAACCAAGAUAUAAAGUUUUCUCUGACAGUCUGAAAAUUUGAUGAGUACUAUUUGAUCAUUACUGUAAUGUGAUAACAUUAUUCAAUCAACAUAUAAAGGUAUAUCUAAGAUUGUGUUAAAAAGUUUGAUAACUGUUGGAUGGCACAUCAAACAAUAUAUAUAGAAAUAACAUUUUGUAUAAUUGCAAAAAUUGUAAAUUAAAUCUCUGAUUGAUUUUGUUAGGAGAGGACUGAAAAAUAAGAAAUACAGUUGUAUUAAAACACCAUAAACAGCAAAAAAUCUUUCACAGUUAUCUUUGUAAUCCAUAUGCUUAAUAGACAGAAAUGAAAUCCUAACUUUCCAAUUAUGUUCUUGUAUGACAUUCAUCUAUGUAAUUGAAGGGAUCUUGAUUUGGUAGGAAACAUAAUAUAUUCUGGAGCUGAUCUUUCCUGAAGGCUGUAAUUAUGUGCCAGGGCUCAUUUUAAGCAUCAGUGGGGUUCUCACAAACGCUGUCAGGUGAGACAAAGCACGUGCUCUGUCAGGUAGAUUUCUAGCAUAACUAAGUAUUUAUUAACUGAACAGCUUUAUAUGCAGGAGGAAAGGAGAUAUGUUUGUCAAUAGCAUCUAAGAGACCAGAUGGUUUGAGACAGAUACUAUGUUCUUUUAAUUAGUUGCUAGUGAGGUUGAAAAAUGCCCCUUUAAUAGGCUCAUAAAAUAGUAGGUUUACAAUUUAGGGCCAUUUCUUUAUUUCCCCUGAGGAAGAAUGGGUACUAAAAUGUAUCAAGUUUAAACUAUUCUGACACAAAUAAGUGGUCUCAUUCAUGGAACUGUUUACAAACUCUGAGUCAUACGGGAAAAAAAAAUACAUGGGGUGAAAAGAAGUAGGUUUUUAUAACUGUUCUUACAUAUGAACACUACUAUUUCUUUUUCAUUUCACGAAAUUUUUGAGGAGAAAAAAGUAGUCUUGACAAACUUGAUGAUGUUAAAUAAGCAUAGUAAUAAGUAAUGAAGAAGUUCCAACUCUUUUACCAGGAGCUAUAAUUGCUUCAUUGAAGAUAGUUGAAGUCAUAUCUGAAGUGCAGCCUGAAAUACAUCAUCUCCCACAGUUCUUCCCAUUCUUUUUUUUAUUUUUUUUUAUUUUUGACAGGCAGAGUGGACAGUGAGAGAGAGACAGAGAGAAAGGUCUUCCUUUGCCGUUGGUUCACCCUCCAAUGGCCGCCGCUGCUGAUCCGAUGGCAGGAGCCAGGAUCCAGGUGCUUUUCCUGGUCUCCCAUGGGGUGCAGGGCCCAAGGACUUGGGCCAUCCUCCACUGCACUCCCGGGCCACAGCAGAGAGCUGGCCUGGAAGAGGGGCAACCGGGACAGAAUCCGGCGCCCCGACCGGGACUAGAACCUGGUGUGCCGGCGCCGCAAGGUGGAGGAUUAGCCUAUUGAGGCACGGCGCCGGCCUAGUUCUUCCCAUUCUUAAUUCUCAGUGUAAGUGCCAGAAAUUGCAAAUAACUUUUGAAGAUUUUUGUGAGUUGUAGGUUAAGUUUUGGUUGGAAGCUUAUAAAUAAAUCUUUCCAUUGUGUCAUAUCUGCAUUUACUGCAUUGUAAAGUUAAUUAAGCAAUAGCUGGGCAUUUCAUAGGGAUUAAUGACUAACAGGGAGGAGUAGAUGGCUUAAGGUACAGCCAAGGGUCAUUAACAUCUGCUGGCCAUUAAUUCCCAGAAAAUGCCUAGCAUUGAAGUCAUUAUUGCUAUUAUGAACUGAAAAUGGAAACGAACUAUAGGCAUAUGGAUUUUUUUAAGGAUGAUGCAAUUUUAAUUGAUAUGUAUAAGGUAAUCAUGGAGAACUUAAUUCUUGUACACUAGCCAAUCAUGUUGCUGGUCUCAUCUCUCAUGGUUCCAUUUGGGUUAUAAUUAAGCAGUAACUGUUGUAGAACUGGGCAUUUCCUGGGGGUUAAUGAAUAGCUGGGCGGAGUUAAUUGUCUAAAGUAUAGUUUCAGGCCAUUAACCUCAGUUGGUCACUAAUCUUUAGGAAUUUCAUUUAACUGAAGUCAACUUUUUUGUAGUAAGAGGAAAAAUAUAUUCAGUUGUUUCAAUAUUAGUCUUAGGGCAUUUUUCUUUUCUUGAAAUGUAUCCAAUAAUGAAAAAGAUCUACAGAGUCUUUCUGUAUGUCCAUUUCAGAGCUCCCUUGUUUUGCAUAUACUUGUAAACACCCAAUAGAUAGACCACAUAAAAAGGGUGCAGAAAAUAGUGCUUAUUUGAUGAGAGGGUCUGUCUGGUUCAAGUGAUAAAAUCAACACAUGGAAGCAUGGAUUUCCUUGAGUUUGUCAGUCUGUAUAUUUGAUACAAUUAUAUAUGUCUUGACGUUUAUCUUUUUAAAAAUCACAUUAUUAAAAAUCAUUGUUGGGGCCAGUGCUGCACCUGCAGUGCUGGCAUUCCAUUCAGGCGCCAGUUCGAGUCCUGCCUGCUCCACUUCUGAUCCAGCUCUCUGCUAUGGCCUGGAAUUGCAAUGGAAGAUGGCCCAAGUGCUUGGAUCCCUGCACCUAUGUGGGAGACCUGGAAGAAGCUCUUGGCUCCUUGCUUUGGAUUGGUCCCACUCCAGCCGUUGUGGCCCUUUGGUGAAUGAACCAGUGGAUGCAAGACACUUUCUGUGGGGAGCAACUUGGACUAGACUGUUACUGGAAUUAAGACUUAUUCUAUGCAUCUGCUCUCCCACAGUAUGGUGCUGGGAGAGGAGUAAACAGCUUCUGCGCAGCUGCCUCUCACUAACUUGAGUGAUGACCUGCAGGAGCUGAUCCUGCUCCUGAUUGGAGGAGAGCAGCGUACUCGGCGUGUGGGUAGCAAAGUUGGGAUUGGUGGAAGAGGACUAUAAAGGAGGAGAGAGACAACAUGCACCAGGAACAUCUAAAGGGAACACCUGAGCAGCCCCCGAGAGAGCCUGCCGGCAGUGUGCCGCUCCCCCGCGGAAGUGGGGAAAGUGGCAGGGGGAACCGCCCUUCCACGGAGGUGGAAGGGAUGGUAGCCAACCCGGGAAGAACCAGCAGCAAACCCGGGGAGGGCUGAGCAGACAAAAGAACAGCGCAGGGUCCUGUGUCGUUCCUCCACAAAGACGGGGAGCAACAACUUUCUCUCUCUCUCUCUCCCCUCUCUGUGCCUCUCUGUAAUUAUGCCUUUCAAAUAAAUAAAUUUUUAAAAAAAUCAUGGUUGACCUGGAAAAACUGCCUUUGUUCUCUAUCAAUUAUCUAUAUAUAAUAUUUCCAUUCAAUACAUUAGGAGACUUCAAAAAGUCAUUGGAACCGAGUCUGAAGCCAGGAGCUGCUUCUUCUGGGUCUUCUACGGGGGUGCAGGGGACCACUGCCUUCCUAGGCCGUUAGCAGAGAGCUGGGUUGGAAGAUGGACAGCCAGAACAUGGACCAGUGACCAUAUGGGAUGCCAACACUGCAGGUGGUGGCUUUACUCGCUACACCACAGUGCCCUGAUCCACAGGUGGAGGCUUAGCCUACUAAGUUCACCACAGCGCUGGUCCCUGUCGUGCUGUUUUCUAAUACAUUUAAGUCAAUACCUGUUUAUAAAAUCUGCCCUAACAUAAGCAGCCAAUUUUCUUCCUUUCUAUGCAUUAUGAUUCUUGGGGUACUACUAACGUUUUGUUCUUAAUUUGGAUGUCAUAAAUAUGAUUAUUGGGCAAAAAAUGCAUCUGUACACUUAGGUGCAUUUCUUGAAAUGUAUACCUUAUUUCAAUAAAAUGUUUGAAAUAUUAUUAAAGAAUUAAUUUAGUGACCAUAUCCCAGGUAGUUCUAUAAUACAUUUCCAAAGCAUUCAGUAAAAUUAAUUUUUUUAGGGAACAUCAAAUUCUCUAUGUAGUAUUCUGAUCUGUUUCUUUGCAAGUCAUUUUAGCAUUCAACAUGUUGUCUUUGUUUAGACAUCUGCAUUUCAAUGAGGACAUAGAUCAUAUUGUUUUGGUGUGCUACUUUCGACCUCCUAUCCAAUUUCUUAUUUUACCUUAAUAAAUUGCAUAGUUUUUUCUCAGUUUCAUAUUUAUUUUUAUAAGAUCUGUUUUUGGAUUGCACAAUAUUUACAUUAGCUUUGCUUUCUGCUAUUGAAUCUCCAGUGUCCAUUUUGUCUCAGCUUAUAAGAAAAUGACACCUUAUAAGAGAUUGCAACUAAUAUCAUAAGAAUUUGCUAAAACUCCCUUUAUAUGUAAUAUUUGUUUACCACAAAAAAAAUGUGUUCUUAUGACAGAGAUAGAAUUCAAGAACACUGUGAAAUGGAGACCAGCAUCAUUAAAUUUAUGUAAUCUAGAUCUAUUUAUUCUAGGGAAUGUUGGUAAUCUUGAAUGUUCAUAUUGCUAAGAUGACAAAAGAAAUAAAUUAUUGCACCUAAAAUCAUAUAUUGAAAGAAAUAAUAGAAACUGAGGAAUGUUUUCCAAAAUUGGUAGAUUCUAAAUAGCAGGAACAAAAAUAAGUUUCUAUAUUUUAAUUUCAAAAGAGAAAAAUUCUGUUUUUUAAGAAUCUCCAUAAUGUUUUCCACAGUGUCUGUACUAAUUUACAUUUCCAGCCACAGUAUAUAAGAGUUGCCUUUCUCCACAUCAUUGUGAGCAUUUGUUACUUUCUGUCUUUUGGAUAAUAGGCAUUCUGACAAUGCUGAAGUGAUACCUCAUUGUGGUUUUGAUUUGUGUUUCCUGACGGCUAGUGAGAUUGAGCAUCUUUUCAUAUAUUUUUUGGCCAUUUUGCAUUUCAUCUUUUGAUAACUGUCCAUUGAGCUCCUUUGCCCAUAUAACUGGAUUGGCUAAAUUUUUGUUGCUGGGUUUUUUUAAUUGCUGAUUUUUUCUGGAUAUUAAUCAUUUGUUGGGUAGGUAGCUUGCAAAUAUUUUCCCUUUUCUGUCGGAUGUCUCUUCACUCUGGUAGUUGUUUUCUUUGCAGAAGCUUCCGAGUUUGAUGUAAUCCCAUUUGUCUAGUUUUGCUUUUGUUGCUUGGGCUUUGGGGGUCUUUUUUAUGAAUUAGUCAUCAUAUCAGUGUCUUGGAACAUUUCCUCUAAAUUUUUCUUCCAGCAACUUCAUAGUGGCAGGUCUUAAAUUUAGGGGAUUGAUCCAUGUUGAGUUGAUGUUUUGUAUACAGUGAAAGAUAGGGUUCUAAUUCCAUUCUUCUACAUAUAAACAAUCAGCUUUCCUAGUACCAUUUAUUGAAGAGGUUAUCUUUUCUCCAAUAUGUAGUCUGGACACUUUUGUCAAAACCCAGUUGAGCCGGCGCCGUGGCUCAAUAGGCUAAUCCUCUGCCUGCUGUGCCAGCACACCAGGUUCUAGUCCUGAUCGGGGUGCUGGAUUCUGUCCUGGUUACCCCUCUUCCAGGCCAGCUCUCUGCUGUGGUCCGGGAGUGCAGUGGAGGAUGGCCCAAGUGCUUGGGCCCUGUACCCCAUGGGAGACCAGGAGAAGCACCUGGUUCCUGGCUUCAGAUCAGCACGGUGCGCCGGCUGUGGCGGCCAUUAGGGGGUGAACCAACGGAAAAGGAAGACCUUUGUCUGUGUCUCUCUCUCUCUCACUGUCCACUCUGCUUGUCAAAAAAUAAAAAUAAAAAAAAAACAGUUGAUAAUAUGUGCAUAUAUUAAUUUUGGGGCUCUCUGUUCUAUUGAUCAGAAUUUGGGUUUUAUGCCAGUAUCAUGCAGUUUUAAUCACUAUAGCUUUGUGAUAUGCUUUGAAGUCAAGUAUUGUAAUGACUCCAGGUUGAUUUUUUUUUUCCUGUGGCUAUUCUGGGUCUUUUGUGUUUCCAUUUGAAUUUCAGGAUUUUAUUCCUAAUUCUUUAAAAAAAUAUGGUUUGUACUUUAACAGGUAUUACAUUGACUUUUUAAAAAAAUAUUUAUUUAUUUAUUUGAAAGAGUUACACAGAGAGCGGAGAGGCAGAGAGAAAGAGAGAGAGAGAGAGAAUCUUCCAUUGGAUGGUUCACUCCCCAAUUGGCCUCAAAGGCUGGAGCUGCACCAAUCCGAAGCCAGGAACCAGGAGCUUCUUCCAGGUCUCCCACAUGGGUACAGGGGCCCAAGGACUUGGGCCAUCUUGUACUGCUUUCCCAGGUCAUAGCAGAGAGCUGAAUCAGAAGUGGAGCAGCCGGGAUUUGAACUGGCACCCAUAUGGGAUGCUGGCACUUCAGGACAGGGUGUUAACCCACUGCACCACAGUGCUGGGCCAUACAUUGACUUUUUAUAUUGCUUUAGGUAGUAUAAAAAUUUUAAGGAUAUUAAUUCUUCAAUCCAUGAGCAAGGAACUUGCCAUUUGAUUCAUCAACCUCACUACUGGAUAUAUACCCAAAAGACAUGAACACAUUAUAUCAAAGAGAUACCUGCAUCACCAUAUGUAGCAGUACUAUUCACAAAAGCCAAAGUAUGCAGUCUGCUAAGGUGUCCAUUAUCGAUAAACAGGUAAAGAAAAUAACAUUGGAAUAUUAUUAAGCUAUAAAAAAGAAUGAGAUUCUACCAUUUGCAUCAAAAUGGAUGCAACCGGAGGACAUCUUAUUGAGUGAAAUAAGCCAGACACAGACGACAAUUACCACAUAUUCACACUUAUUUUGGCAGUUAAAAUUAAAAAAGAAAAAAGAAAUAAAAAAAAAAACAUAAAGAAGGGACUGUGUGCUGUGUCUGUAAUGCUGCAGAUGUACUUUUGUUAAACUCUGUUUUAUGUAAUUGUCAGAUCAAUGGUUAGCAAUGCCAUAUCACUACAGUUUUAAUCUCCAGUUAUUUUAAAGUUUACUGGAGCCAGUGCUAUGGUAUAGCAGGUAAAACCGCCGCCCGCAGUGCCAGUAUCCUAUAUGGGCGCUGGUUCAAGUUCCAACUGCUUGACUUCCCAUCCAGCUCUCUGCUAUGGCCUGGGAAAACAGUAGAAAAUAGCCCAAGUCCUUGGGCCCCUGAGCCCAGCUGUUGUGGCCAUUUGGAGAGUGAACCAGCAGAUGAAAGACCUCUUUCUCUCUAUAGCCUUUUGGGGAGUGAACCAUCAGAUGGAAUACCUCUCUGACUCUGACUCUCUGUAACUCUGCUUUUCAAAUAAAUACAUAAGUAAAUAUUUUUUAAAAAAAGUUUACUGUGUAAGAGUAAAAUGGACAUCUUUUCAUUUGAUUAUUGUUUAUAUAUUCCUGUUGAACUAUAGUCUCCCUGCUUGUUGAACUCUUUAGUGAAGUGUUAACCCUUUGACUGUAAUGAAAAUUAAAAAUGUUAUCUCAAAAUUUAAAAAAACAAGAAAGAAAUAAAUACAGAAAGAUGGCGGGAAGGAAGGAAAUAAAAGAAGAAAGGAAGAGGGAUGGAAAAUGGUGGAGGAAAGGAAGUAUUAUUCUUAGAAUUGUGUCUAUGAACUGCAUUGAAUCUAUUCUCUUUGUAUUAAUAUCAUAUUAACAUGAAAAUUGAUAAGAAUUAUGUUGUAGUAAUUACCAUGCAUUUUUUGUGGCACUGAUAAUCUAAUGUAUUAAUAAAUUCUUUGAAAAAUAAAUUUAUUUUAUUUUAUUUAUUUAUUUGAGAGGUAGAGUUUCAAACAGUGAGAGGGAGAGACAGAGAGAAAGGUCUUCCUUCCAUUGGUUUACUCCCCAAACGGCUGCAACUGCUGGAUCUGUGCCAAUCGAAAGCCAGGAGCCAGAUGCUUCUUCCUGGUCUCCAAUGAGGGUGCAGGGACCCAAGAGCUUGGGUCAUCUUCUACUGCUUUUCCAGGCCAUAGCAGAGAGCUGGAUUGGAAGAGGAGCAGCCAGGACUAGAACCGCUACCCAUAUGGGAUGCUGGCACCACAGGCACAGGAUUAACCUGUCCCACGGCACUGGCCUUACAUUCUAUUAAAUUAAAAAAUAAAAUUCUAGAUGUUGAAUCAGUGAAAGGCAGCUAUUUACUUUUUUUAUAUAAUCUUUAGAGAAAUUUAAAUUUUCUUCUGAAAUUAUUAUCUGCCACGGUAGUUCUAUUCCAAUUACAGUGUUUUUCAAAGUCCACCCCCCCUUAAAGCAGUAGACACAAUCAUUAACCUCUGUGAAAUGAGGUUUUUUGCUUUUCUGGUGCCAAAGAGAAAACGCAAGUUAAGCAACAUGUUAAUAAUACAUAUAAGAAGAGGAAUCUGUUGCUUUCAAGAUGAUGGGAAUUGUGAGUUAUAUAUUUUGUAUUAUUUCUAAACUUGAUUCUAUAAAUGUAAUCAUCAAUGAAAAACGUGAUCAUAGGAAUCAUAAUUUAAAAAGUUUUAUACAUAUUAGAUUCUCUAUCCAUAUAGAUCAAGUUUCAGAAAUACUUGAAAAUAAAGUAAGUUGCAGACCUCACAUGUUCUAGAGUUAAAACUCUGCAGACAUAUGCAUCCUUUCUUUUGGCCAUGAUCAUUCAGUUCAACUGAUUAAAUUAUUGAGGCAGCCUCAACUAGAUGUAAAUAUCUUUCAUUUUUUAAAAAGAUUUAUUCAUUUGAAAGGUAGAAUUAGAGAGAGAGAAUGAGAGAGAGAGAGAGAGAGAGAGAGAGAGAGAGAUUUUCCAUCUGCUUGUUCACUCCCCAAAUGGCCUCAGGGGCUGGGUCUGGACCAGGCUGAAGCCAGAAGUUUCUUCAGGGUCUCCCAGGUGGAUGCAGGGACCCAAGCACUUGGACCAUCUUCUGCUGCUUUCCUGUGUGCCUUAGCAGGAAGCUGGAUCGGAAGUGGAACAACUGAAACUUGAACCAGAGCCCAUAGGGGAUGCCGGCAUUGUAGGCAGCUGCUUUACCCACUACACUGCAGCGCCAUCCUGGAUGUUAAUAUCUUUGAACACUGCCCUUUAAAAGUUGAUUCUCUUACUUUUAAAAAGAGAAAAAGCAAUGGCAGCAGCUGAGAAAGAAAAAUAGAGGAAAACAAAUUUAGAGUGAUUCAGGACAAUAAUGUCAUGCAUAGAUUUUUUUUAAUAAAUCACAUUUUCUAUACAUUUUUUUGAAAAUCCCUUGUCUAAUUUAUUUCAACAUUCAUUUUGAAUUUUAUCAAAAAUCAUUACCAACACUGUCAGUUAAUAACAAGCAUUCUAGGGGCUGGCACUGUGGCUCAGUGGGUUAACACCCUGGCCUGAAGCGCCGGCAUCACAUAGGAGCGCUGGUACAAGUCCCGGCUGCUCCUCUUCCCAAAUCCUCUUCCACUGCUUUCCCAUGCCACAGCAGAGAGCUGGAUGGGAAGUGGAGCAGCUAGGACUCGAACAGGUUCCCAUAUGGGAUGCUGGCACUGCAGGCGGCGGCUUUACCCACUACUCCACAACACUGGCCCCUAUAAGUUAUUUUUGGUAGGCCAUAAAUAUUUCCAAGCAUGAGUGAAGAAGCAAUCAGAUUGGAUUAGUGGUUUAGAAAAUCACUUGACCCAGGGGCUGGCACUGUGGCAUGGUGGGUAAAGUCUGGGCCUGCAAUUCUGGCAUGUGCAUAUAGGCACCAGUUUGCGUCCCAGCUACUCUACUUCCUGUCUACUCCCUGCUUGUCGCCUGGGAAGGCAGUGGAAGCCCAAAUGCUUGGACCACUACACCUGUGUGGGAGACCUGGAGGAGGCUUCUGGCUCCUGGCUUCAGAUCAGCCCAGCUCUGUCCGUUGUUUCUAUUUGGGGAGUGAACCAGCAGAUGGAAGAUCAGUCCCUCCCUGUCUCUGUGAUGCAGUCUUUCAAAUAAAUGGAUGUAAGUUUCAAGAAAAAAAAAACAAAAGAAAA